UUUAUAUGUCUAUUUGUUUCUUCAUUCGAGGUCUUUAUGCAUCUAUGUUGUAUCAUAUCUCAUAACAGUUUCUCUGAGUUCCCCCAUAACUAAAAAUAAAUUGACGAAAUUUUCUUAUAUGGUCAAUAUUGACCAAAAAUGGUUUCUAUAUAUAGCUGGCCUUGUUUAGCUCCAAAAAAUUAGAAAAAUCUUACAUCCAUCCCUAUGAAGUUCUAUAAUAUUACAGUUUCGAGAAUUUUAAAUUACAGCCCCAAGCCUACAUAUUCCCCUAGGCACGGCUUGAGAGUUGAUUCCUGAUCCGCAAAAGAUGCUUAACCCUCAAUUAUGAAUGCCUGUGUUCUGGUCAAAUAGCAAAGUUAAUGAUGUUUCCUUGAAUCCCUUCUACAAAAAUAUACUCUUCUCUGAUCUUCAAUAUGAAACAUCCAAAAUACUGUUAAUUUGUAACCUAUUCGUCCCCUGUUAAGCGCUAGAAGUACUAGUUGAUUUUAUCGUAAAUGGUUGAUAUAGCUUCAUAUUCCUUUAAUGAAGAAACAACCAGAACUUUGAGGAUAUUAACUCUUAAUAACAUGAGAACUAAGAUGGAGGAUAUUUCCUGAAUGUUUUUUCAGAAGUCUGUAAGUUCAAUAGAAAGUUGAAACUGUCUUUUUCCAUCAAAAUGUAAACAAUAGUUGCUUCUUUGUCCACCAAUCAGAAUGCGAUUAUUUCUGCACCAGGGAAGAGGGCUUAAAAGCCUCUUCGUUCAAUAAGAUACACUAGACGGUUUCUGAUAUAAUUGGGAUGCCCCAACUCCUCUUUUGAUAAUUCAAAUAAGCUACAAGCAUUAAAACUUUUUUCCCUCCUGUAGUUUCAUUAGAUUUUUGUUAUGAGAUCUCAGAAACUUUCUGAUCUUGGGUUUCAUACGCAUGUUUUUCGGGAGUUGACGCAUAAUUAUGCAAUUAUUUGCUUGGAAAGCAUGAUUCCUCUCACUGACCAGAUAUGUUUAUGGACCCAGGAUAUCCAGACAUCUAGUGUAUUUUUUAUUUGAUGUAACAGGACACUGUUGAGUUAAUUGGAGAAUUUAUAUUGAACUCAAAGUCAGAACCUGAACCAAAGACAUUUCAACCAAUUUGGUUACUUUAAUUUUAUUAUGUGCACUCUUUUAUGAUUAUCAAACUGAGAGUGGUUUUUCUCUAGGUGCCAAGAAAGACGGCAGCAGCGUCCAUUUCUUUCAUAAAACAACCAAAGCAUAUGCAACUGGUCAUCGCAAGCGCCGCAAGAUCCAUGAUCAAUCUAGUUCCACAGAGGAGCAAGUCCGUUGGCACAAGACAGGGAAAACCAAGGCUGUGAUAGAGAAUGGGAUUCAGAAAGGAUGGAAGAAAAUUAUGGUUCUCUACAAAAGUUCCAAGAAGGGCUUGAAGCCAGAUAAAAUUAAUUGGGUGAUGCAUCAGUACCAUCUGGGGAUCACAGAAGAUGAGACUGACGGCGAGUUUGUGGUAUCAAAAAUUUUCUACAACCAACUGUCCAACCAGACUCCCAUCAUUGAAGAAGCAGUACCUCUGGUAAACCGAGCUGGUCCGACCACCCCAAAUAUGUAUACCCCUAAUCCACCUCGACGAGGAAAACGGGCUUUAGUUGAUGAGAUUGAUGAAGAACACUUGCACGACUCAAAAUUUACCAUCCUUGACCAGAUUGAUGAAGAACAUUCACAGAAAUCAGCCAUGCAGGUAUAUUCUGAAAACUUAUCUAGUUACUGCUUAAUAGAAAAUGCUCUGCUGUUUGAGCCUGUUAAAAUGCCUACAAGUUCCAGUUAGACUGCUCAGGCUCAGCUGAUGGGAUGCCGCUUUGGACUCUGAUUUAGGCUGAAAAUAAAUCUGUGAAUGAUUAGUAUGCUCCCACCAUUCAGGUGAUUGCAGCACCUACAAUUUUUUACCAUGACCACGUAAAAACUUGGCUCAUCUCUAAUGAGCUGUGUAUAAUGGCCAUGGCCUGUUAAUUAGAUGGCUAAAGUAAUAAACCUUUAUCAUACUGAGCAAGUGGCUGUUCAAUUUAAAUCAAUAUAGCAGGAGUUUACAUGGCCGAGUAUAAUAUUUCAUCUUCAAACAACUCGCUUGUGUCCCAAGGUUUAGUGUGCAACUUACUAUCCAGAGAUCAAGUAUCAGUCUGUCUCAAGUUUAAGUUUCUAUGGGACGACAAGUAUAUUUACGUCAGUUUCUAAAAUUUAUUCAACAGACCCUCUUUACAUUUUACAAAAACAAUGAUUGACUUGUAGUUGUAACCAUGUACUUUUACUAAGAUGACUUUGUGAUGCUCAUAAAAAUUGGCCAUUCUAGUAAAUAACAAUGGUGUUACUCUGGUAGCAUAUUGCUGCAUGUAAUACCAUGCACUAGAAUGAUUGUUGAAGUUUUAAAUGUACUUUCACUCCAAAUUUGUCUGAGUCUGUAGAAUCUUAAAGGAACCUGUUUAUUUUGAAUAGGUUGCAGAACUAACACUGGAAGCACAUCAACCAACUCUGGCAGUUGUUCGUUCUGAGGAUGAAGAUGAGAAGGGGGAUCCUCUAUGGUUGGCUGGGGAAUCUCAAUUAGCUGAGGACCUCAAUAACGAUUUGGAUAUGACUCUAUUUUGCGAUGAGAAUUUUGCGUAUACUCCCCUAAAUGAGAUAAAUGAGUUUGGUAUUAAAGAUAAUCCGUUCUCGUCUCCAGGUUCUAACAAGAAUGAUAUCUUAAAAGGAGAUUCUGAGACAGACUGGUUUGCGGACCUAGGAAAACUAGAAUUUGGAACAGCAUCAGAUCUUGUAGUAAGUUUCAUCUCGAACUUCUUUUUACUUAAGUGGAUGUGUCAAUGUACCAAUUGGGUGAUUUACCUACCGCAACAGCAUAUAAGUGCAUAGAGUGGACUUGCAGGAUAGUUGGACCUAUCGUUUAAAGUACUUGCUCUAAUGCCUUCCUACAAGUUCACCCUGUGAAUACGUGUCACUUAGAACAGUCUUGGUUGGUCUAGCUUAUCCAUUAUUUUCUAUAAAUUUGCUAUUUGGUAAGGAUUGUACUUCAGCCAGUGUAAUUCACUUUUCCUAGCUACCAUUUUCAGGAUUGGCGGUUCGGUUCUCAGGAUUUACGAAUUGGUUCUCAAGAAAGCAUUUCGACUUGGUUCGAUGGAGUUUAAAGAGGAAGUUAAUGGAGUAAAGCUCAUUAUUAAGGAUAUAAUGGAGGCCAAAUUUUGUUGCAUCCCAGGUCUCUUUGGUUUUCUUCUCUGUAGGCAGUCUUGGCCCCAGAAAAGGAAGUGGAAGCGAAAGAUGCAAGUGCUCAAGUACUUCUGCUUUUCCUAAGCUUUUAAAGUCUCUAGAGCUCUAUGCAGGAAGGUGAUGAAAAAAUCUUAUUCUAAUGCUUUAAGGGUAUGACUCUGACGCGGCAAUGCUUACAAUCUUAAAUGUUCUGGCAAUUUUGGUGAAAGUUGGUGAAAGGAACUGAGAUGCAUUCAGAACCAUCUAUUGAGGCAGUGCUAUCAUUGGCCCAAGUCAGAGCAGCUUGAUUCGGAUUUCUUCAAUAACAUGCAAAGCACCCCUAGUAAAGUUCCCUCUAUGUUAGCUUUAUUGAGUAUGAUUAUGACUACAACUUCCAUAUAUAUGGACAACUAACUGAACAAAUGGGUGUAAUGCUUAUGGUGAUGAACAGUUAUGUUUUUCUCUAACAGUGCAUUUUCUAUAUAUGUAAGUAGAUGUUACUAUGAGCAUCAUCUAGCUACUACUUCAUAAAUAAAAGGUUAUGGUGAUAUACUGUAAUGGUUAUGGUGAUAUACCUGGAGUGUUUAUAAUCACAUAGUUUGAAAGGCAAGUCUAUAGAGCAUGGACUCUUUAUUCUUUAAGCAGCAUUGUAAAGACAGGAAUUUUGAUGGUUGAGAAAUGGCAAGUAAAUUCUGGCUUUGAAACCAUAAUGAUGCUCUAGUAUUUAUGAAAAAUUUAGACAGUAAUAUUACUCCCUAUUUUCAGAAUAUAAACACCCAUGACGAGUAUGUUCAGCUAUGACGGGUGGACGUCAAUGCUAAGGACUGCCAGGCACAUCAAGGCCAUUAGAGAUGCAACUUUGUGUGCCAUAAGUUGUUCCUAAAUAUUUUGCUCAGAAAAGAAGUCUGCCAGACUCCUUUACCCACAUAGCAGCCUGCUUGCCUGUGACCAUUUCAUUUGCAAUUUAUCUAGCAGUGGGAAGAUAACAAAGUGCCAAGGUUAACAGAUACAGGAAACCAACAAAAAAAAAUAUCUUCACCUGUCAAUUGACAGUAAUAUUCUUCUACCUGAGUAUUGAUCUCGAUUUUGUAUCAUCAUAGAUACUGUUGCACACCUGUCAAAUUAUCAUUUUUAUUUCUCUUUUUCUUGUUCUGAUUUUGAAGCUUACCUUUUACUAGGUAUGAAAACAAGAUGCAGAACCUUGAAAAAAAAUAGAGGCAAUAAACCACUAAAACUUCCAAGGGCAAACUAACAUAUGAUUCGAAGUCCUUGUACCCUCUUCCAUUACUAUUAUCAUCCUAACACUUAACAAUUGACAGAUAAAAAGAAAAUUACCAUUCGGUUUACAAGAUCUAAUUCAUUUUGCCAAUAAGUAUUCUGAAAUGUUCCUGAACAAUGCAUGGAUGGAUUUUGAAUUAAUAAGCGAGUAUACCCUGAUAAACACAUAUAAACAUGGCAACACAUAGAUUGUCCUGACUAUAUAAUAACACUGCACAACCUUCCCCAACUUCAAUGCAAAAGGUAUUAAUCGCUAACAGCCACACACAUAAUUUAACCAUUUGGAAGAGAUACAAACUGCACAAUCUUAAAUGAAAUUGGUGAGGAACGGUUAGACUUAUCAUUGAAUAAAAAUGAAAACACUAAGAACAAUUCCAACUCAAGAGACAAGAUCGCAACGAGUUUAAGAAUAUAAUUCAGUUAGUCUAAAGGAAAACAAAAAUUCCUCGCAUACAAAAUCUCAGUUUUUCUAUUCAUUUUCUUUUCCUGUUUAGCAUAAGGGGAUCAUGUCAUACCGAAGAUAAGUUAUAGCCUUGCUUUCCACACCUAUUAGUUGUCCCCUUCAUUUAUAGCAAGAUCCUCAUUUGGCAAGUAUAUGUGCCUCCACCGCAAUUGAAACUGAACACAAGAAAGAGUUCAAUAUACAAAGUCCCGUUCACGAUGCGUAGGAUCUUAUAGCCUAUUUUGCCAAAUCUUGCUAUAAAGAAUGCUCUAAAUUUAGUCAGAUACAUGGCCUGUCCUACCAGUACCACACCAAACUCGUCACUGAUUUGUCAAAGGCUUCCCUGCAUAUAAAACACGCUCCACCUCUAACCUUUAUAUAAAGCUUCAAUAGAAACAUUCAGAGUGAUCUAGCCACUCUCCCUUUGGCAAUUUCCAGGCAAGAGAUAUUUAUACUUGUCAGCAUUCUCCAAAAGAUAGGCAGGAAGAUGAACCCCCGAAUAUGUAGGAGGAAUGGGUCCCAACUUUCCAAUGAUCUCUUUAAAGGUGUACUCUUCGGGAAGCAUGUCAAAAAGGUCGGACCCUUUGCAGAUCACGUCCUGAAUCCUUUUUGGAUUUAAAUAAUGUGAGAACCUCACCCGAUCAUUGUGGCUAUAUGCUUUCAUUUUAAAAAUGAAUUCACUAACAUGACGGAAGCAAAAGCUACAAUGCCACCCUGAAUCUGCAAGCAAAACAUCAGCCUGUCUAAAAUGUCCAUAUCUCGUUACACCCUUCUGAUACCUAUGCACUGAAGCUCUCCAGCUCUUAGUAUCCAUGAAAAACUCAAAAGAGUACAAGUAAUUCUUAAGCUGAAGAUGGAGGAUUGGAGGAGUGUCAUCACACCAUCGCAGGAGAUUAAUUGUGUGACCGCUAGGAAUCUCAUCAACAUCAGACAUUAUCAACAAGUCAUCAUCUGUAAUACCUGCUAUUCUUAGAAGCUGGUCCAGCACCACGCGCUGAUAUGCUUCCUCAACAAAUGGGUUUUCCCCUUUUCUAAACCUUCCACCGAUUGUUCCGUAAGUCAGACGAUUCUCAACAAACUUAAAUUGAUCUUUAUGGAUAGAAAAAUCUAGUGGCUUUGGUAUUCCACUGAAUGUUGAAUUUGAUUCCAACAGAACAAACUGAGUGAUGUACGGAUACAACUCCUUCCAUCUGAUAGAAAGGAUGUCCAACUCAUUGCUGAACAACACCGCAUCAAAAACUCGUCUAGGGGAUUCACGGAUUCCCCACCCAUGAAGCUUACACAAAUGCUCCAUCGACACAUUCUCAUGGUAAUAGUGUGGAAUCUCAUGGAAAGGUUUGGGAGGUUUUUCCCAGAUUGGCCGUAGAAAGUAUGUGAUCUUCUGCCCAUGCAAAUAAAUACCCAGGAUGCAGGUUGGAACAAUGACGAAUAGAAAGAGAUAAGAUUUAAAAUCUAAACCUCGGAGAACACAUCGAAGUCUUGACAUGCUAAAAGCCGCACGAGCCUCCUGAAAAUAAACAAAAGUUUGAUAAGAAACCACAACAAUAGAUAGAUAGAUAGAUAAUUUUUCCCUUUACACAAACAAUGAUAUUCCAGGCAGAAUCAACUAAAACCUAAAACAUCAGAAUCAUCGAUUAACCUUAUAAACUAACCAUUUCAUACUUGAUCAAAAGUUGAGAGAAAUCAAAUUUCCAGUUACAGAAAAACACCAUUUUCCGAUACCCAAUUCUAAAUUAAGCAAUAAAAACAUCAAUUCUCAAGCACCCUUGAUAUGCAUUAUAUUCAAUUUCAUAAGCAAAUUCAAAACCAACUACUGUAUGCAAAUUCCUCCUCAAUGUAAAGCAAUCCCAAACUACAAACAAAUAUGUUUUCAAACAAUUUAGGCUUUUAAGUAAACAAAAUCAUCAAACAAAUCAAACCCAUUUCUUAUUAACCUAAAACAAACCAAAAUCAAACAUACCCAAAUAAAAAAAACCACUGAAAAUGCAAAAACAGAUCGACAAAUGUUAAAAAAUUGAGAAAAUUUACCUGCCCACAAACAUCUUCACAUAUAUCAUCAGACUUCUUAGAACAAUAAUAUCCACCUUCAGGCAUCAUUAAUAAGCAAAAUGAACACUCUUUUAUAUCUCUUUUAUGUCUUUUCGUGUUCUCUUCACUCUCCUCCUAUUUCUUCUUCUUCGAAAACUAUAAUAAUAUAUAUAUAUAUAUAGAAACUAAUAAUCUUCAAAAUCUACGAAAAGGGUAGACGCGUUAUUAAGAAAAAAUUGAAGAAAACGCGGCGAUCUUUUGGUUUUAAUGGAGUUUAUUCAUUCAUUCAUUCUUCUUCUUUCUCUCUUCUCUUGUGUUGAAACGGCAAUUAUAGCCGUUUGGUUGAGUGUUUUUUUUUUUUUUUCUUUGAUAAGAUAAAAGAAAAACAAAAGAGAGAAAGAGAAAAAAGCCAGAAAAAGUACAGCUUUUAAAAACCCUAAAAAUUACUAUUUUUUUUUAUUUUUAACUAAUUAUUAAAAAAUUAUUUCUUUUUCACCAAGAAAAAUAUUAUUAAUAACUAUGUUUAGAAAAAAUAAUAUCUGUUGCCUCUCUGUAUGGUCGUAUGGAUGGUAGUUACAAGGUUUUGCUUUUUAUAAACCCUAAUUUUUAUUAAUUUUGGUAAAUUACUAAUAUUACCCUUGAUAUUUUGUGAUGAUUUUGAUUAGAUAUAGGGUAUUUUAGGAAAUGUGAAUUUGAGGUUGUAAAUGUUUUACACGGUUAUUGACUUGGUCAAGUCAAGAAAUAUAACCUAAGACUUAUUAAGACUAAUUUGAUCUAUAAAUGACUGAGUGAAGUUAGUCAAGUCUUCUUGAGUGCUCAUAGACUUUUUAUUUAUCUUAAAAACUCACUACAAAUUGGUCAUUAGAUUUGUGAGUGAUGUUGGUAUGUUGAGAAAGAUAAAUAAAUUUGAUUCAUUUCUGACUUGAACCAUUCAAUAUCAUUUGUUGAUCAUUUGUUGAUUAUAGAUCAAAUUAUGCAUUAUGAUUUGACUUUGUAUGUUUGUUUGAGGACCGCGUAAAUUACUUUUGUGAAUGUCCUUGAAGAGAUAUGUGAUUAGGUAAUCCCUUUAACAAUCGUUAUCAAUCCUCACUUUUAGAAACGAAAAUGUAUGGACAUAUGAACAAUAUUAUCUAAAAUCAAUACUAAAUAUUAAAAAAAAAAAACGUUAUUUUCUUAAUCGUGAAAUCAUGUUAGGAUGUUAGGGUGCUCGCUCGAGACCCAUAUAUUGUAAAAAAAAAAAAAAAAAAAAAUCAAAUGGCAGGAUUUUUGGUAUAUUAAGUGAAGAUGAAUUAAGCAUUGAGCUUAUAGAUAGAUAGGUUUAUUAUUAUCUCAACUUCCCACCAUAGGAAAUGGAUGAUGGAGAAAAAGUGGAGGUCAUUGUUACACAGUUUCUUUCAAGUAUAGGAAUGAUUCCAAGGUGAUUCAAAGUAAAUAGAAUUAAUAUUCCUUAAAUGGUUUGAUAGGGAAAAUCUUGAUUGAGUAGUACAACUUUGAGCUUCUUUAAAUGUAAAACAACAAUGGGAUAGAGACUUUGAAUGAAUUUAUUCUUAUCUCACCAAAACAACAUUAAUAACAACUCAAAGGGGAUAUUUCUUAAGAUUAAUGUAAAAAGACCAAAGAUUCAAACAAACAUGAUACAGUUCUUAGGAAUAUUAUGUUUCAUCUGCCAUAUAGUAUUGCCAAGUGUAUUUUUUAUUUUUUGGGUAUAGCCAAAUGUAUUGAUUCUGGGCAUUUUUUAUUUCUAAUUUCUAUUCUUGGUGACUAAGGGCACAUGUUCUAGCUUCUGUCUCUGGACUGCUAUGGGAUUAGGAUAUUCUUUUAAAGGAACUAUGUUUUAUUCUUUUGGUAUAUCCAUCAUCAUAAUUAUAAAUAAAAGUCAUGGAAAUAUAUAAAAUACUAGGUUUUAUUAGUAUCCAUUACCUGCUAUAUCACUAUCCCUUCUGCAUUUCAAAAUCAAUCUACUAUGAAAAUCAUUUUCCCACAACAUAAAUGAUUGAUUUGAAUGAACAAUUCCUAUCAAAUUAUCAAAUGUAGCACUAAGGGAUCAUUUAUACUCGGGUUAUUUUGUAUUUGGUCCCUUUAGAAGAUGGGUAAUUAACAUUUGGUCUAAUCUUUAUCGUUUAUUAGUAAAUGGUCUCAUUUUCGUCACUUGACUGUCAGUCAACCCAGUUGACCAGAGUCAAGGCAUUCGUAUUUUCUUAAUGACCAAACUACCCUUUCAUGUGACUAGCACGUGACAAAACUUAAAACUAAAAAAAAACCAUUUAGUUGUUUGUAAACAUGCAAAAUUGGUUUAUAGUCCUCAUUUUUCAUAUUUCGUUUUAAAUAUAGUCCCUGUAAACAAUAAUGGAAAUAACCAUGAAAGUUAUCUUACCGAAUUGAACUUGAACAUGUAACCACCACCCCUGGAAUGUCUAGAAUUUCUUUCACUUGAUUACCAUUGUCACUUGUAAAGAAGAGAAUAAACUUUUAAAUGUUCCAUGGGUGGUGGUUAUAUGUUGUACUUCACUCCAACUAAGGUAAGAUAAUUUCAAUGGUUAUUUUCAUUACUGUUUAGUGUUUAGAGGGACUAUAUUUAAAACGAAAUAUUAAAAAGAAGGACUAUAAACUAAUUUUGUAUGUUUACAAUCAAUUAAAUGGUGUUUUUUGAGUUAUAAAUUUUGUCACGUGCUAAUCACGUGAAGGGUAGUUUGGUUAUUAAAAAAAUGUGGAUGUUUUGACUCUAGUCAACUGGGUUGACUGAUAGUCAAGUGACGAAAAAAAAGACCAUUUACUAAUAAACGAUAAAGAUUAGACCAAAUACUAAUUACCCAUCUUCUAGAGGGAUCAAAUACAAAAUACCCUUUUAAACUCCACAUGCCAAGUUGACAGUGGCUAAAAUAAGAAGGUUGAAACUUGAAAGCAUUCCUUCUAAGUUCCAUCCAUAUAUAUAUAUAGAGAGUUUGAAUUUGUUCUGGAACAACACUCUCCACCAGAUUUUGACACGUACUAAUAACUUUUUUUUUUUUUUUAAUUUAGCUGGUCCCACUAAGGUUAACAGUACCAUCUUAAUGUUUUAGUUUUUUAAUUAAUCUUACUUAAUAUUAAAAAAAAAAAAAUCAAAUUUUUUAUUUUUUAAUAUAGCCACCUGGCAAGAUCUGGGGAGAGUAUUGUUCCAAACUCUUAAAGAGUGGAACAAAUUCGCACUCUAGUCUCUAUAUUCACCACUCUCUUUCUAUUCAAGCCAUCACCAUUCAUCUCACCUUCCAAGAAAGUUCUACUCAGAACAAUGUGUAUUUCAAUUUUGUUUCUGCCAAGUGUCAAAUAUAGUAUACUAGCUACUGUUCAUCAUAUUGCAUGCAAACAAGCAUAUUCUCUGGAAUAUAUAUAGAGUCUUUGUUUUCUAAAUGAGGUCUUCUCUAACUCUAAAGUCAAGAGAAAGUUACUUAGAAAUGUUUGAUUUUGAUGUGCAUGAUCUUUAUCAUUAAUAUUUUGUUUUUGUGAAUAAGAGAAAGCCUCCUCAUGAGUCAUGACUAUUUCUAUUCCAUUUUCUUUGUUGUCACCUUCCAUUUACCAUACCAGCAGUCUAUUUCUCUCUUUUAUAUUUUCUCUAGCUAUGAGUCGUGUUCUUUUCAAAGUUAUCAAGUGUCCAUAUCUCUUUAUAAAAAAAAAAAAAAAAACAAAAAAAAGUGUCCAUAUCUAAAAACAGACAUAGUUGAUUAAAUUAAACCAUAUGAAUUAUAUUAUUAACUUAUGCCCACAUUGGCCAGCAAUUUCUAUGGUAGUGAAGAAGAUGGACAUCUUUGUUUUCUUCCAAUUCACAAUAGUCAUAAUUUUGUUCUCAAAACAAUAAUGAAUAUGGUACAUAGGUUCUAAAAUAUGUUAAAGCAAAAUGAAUUCUAUCCAACCAUUUAAUUAUUGGUGUAAUGUAACAUUCUUUUUUGCUAGUAAUCAAAAAGAUUGAGAAAAGAUCUCAAGCUUCCUUCCCACAAAGAGUCCCAUUUUCACAGUUUCACCAAUGCUUGAGCUCAUGACCAUCUGAUUUAUUUAUCUCAGAUUGUUAGAGGUCAAUGAAAUAUGGAUAAAGGGUCAUCUGAUUUUAUUUCAUGAAUUUAUAUUAAUUGUAGUAUGUCCCUACUGUUGUCUCUUAACUUAUUUGAUCCAUUAGAUAUUAGGGUUGACAGAAGACUCCAAUAUAAUGUUUUCCACUUUCUACAUUACAACCAAAAGGAAAGAUGUUUCCUAGGUGAUUAGUGAUUACUAAGUUAUACAGUAGUCUAGUUUCAUUUAAGAAAGGAUUAGAACCAGUUAUUUAUCAUUGUUGUAAUCAGUAACUAUAGCUUAUUAGCUGUGGAUGUCCAGUAGUAUAUAGUUUAAUUUCUAUGUAAAUCUUUUAAGCUGCAAUAUCUUUUGUUAAAUCAUCCAAAAGUACUACUACGCGGUAGUGGUUUUAGUGUUUGUCAUUUAAUUUUUUUUUAAAUAAAAUCCAAUAACAAAAAAACAAAUUGCAAAGCAUAAGCAUGAUAAAAUUGCAUAUCCGAACAAAAUAUUACGCGUAAUUUUGACUUUGCUAAAAGAAUACAAAUUUAAUUUUUUAUUUUUUUUUAUUUUUUUUUUUAAAAAAUGCGUGAGUAUAUUACAUAUAUCUACAUUAUCUUGGGACCGCGAUGUAUCAUUGCAUAUAUAAUUCUUAUACAAUACCUUAUUUUAUUUUUUUUACAUAAUUGGUUAUUCUAAGAGGUAGAACUUGUAAUAAAUAAAUUGUUUUUUUUUUCUUUCUCUUUUGUUUAACCAUUUAGCAACCAAUAUAUAUAUGAUGUAACAUUCAUGCUCCAAAAGUCCAAAGCAAUAACUUUAAGAAGUGUUCAUAGCUACGUACUGUAUUCCUAUAACUUCUAAGAUUACAUGAUGCUGCUUGGCCUUUGCUUGAUUACAUACAACACUACAGCAGUGAAAGACAAGGCAUUGACCUGCACAAAGUGAAAAAGACCCAGGUCAAUAGGUCAUCAAAGUCUACUUGCAAACUUCAUUGACAUCAUAAGGCCGGCAAUAUCAUAACUUCAUUAACCAUGCUCAAACUCAAAUUGAAUAAACAUAUACGUACAGUAUGUUUACUGAUGUGAAACAUAUACACAAAGCUUAGGCCAACCUGGCCCAGAUAAUAACACACUUUUAGGCUUUAUCCCUCAAUUAGAAGUUAGAACUAGGCUAGUAUCUAGUAUUUGUUUAUUUUAAUUGUAAACAUCGAGCACCAUAACUUUAAAAUCUGUUUAGAAAACAUACAACUCUUUUAACAAUAAAGUAUGAAUGAAGCCAAAUAGUAUUUCGAUUAAGUCUAGACAUGAGUACUAAGUACAAAAAUUAUAGACAAUUAAGUAGGGGUUUUGCCUGGGAUUUAGCAGUUAAGUUGGUGGCUUAUGUUGUAUCGAGUUUCUUAAAAACUUUGUCUUAUAGAUUGGAUUUAUAUUAAUCUUCUUCCUGAUUGAUCACAUUCAAAGUUAUCAUUAGUUUAUAUACUUAUACAUUUUUGGUAGGUAUUUUAUGGAGCAGUGUGAAUUAUACAAAUGCCUAAUCCAGAGUUCAUCAUUAUAAUACAAAACAAUGGGACAUAAUUGGUCUGAUUGCUGCAAUAACCUCCACUAUACAGUCCCAUCCCAUGAAUUCCUGCAGCGCGAUGGGUGGGCUGGGAGCCAACAUCUGGGUCAGCACUACUGGUUUGAGAUCCCAAUCCCAAGAGGAUCCAGUUUAGUCCUCACACAGUAUAGAACUAAACUGAGGCAAUUCCAGUUGACAGGAAGAAGAUAACCAACGCUGUCCCAGUUGUACAACCGGAAUGUCCAUCGAAAGUCAUUUGCUUUGCAAUCUUCCUUUAAAAAUAAGGAUGAAACCUGACAGCCUUUUGGCUUCCCUGCAGCUAAUUUGCUGCAUUCCAUUCCUGGGCCUUUGGAACCUCAAUAAAAAGGAAUGUAUCAAAGCUGUGUAUAUAGUAUAUACUAUUUAACUACUUUGAAGGGAAUCUAGGGUAACAAUGGGCAGCACCACUUGGUUUUUCUUUGUAAAACAUGGAAUGUGCCUGAAAUGUGUUUCUGCACAUGUAGAAAUGUAGUCACUAGUCAGUUAUAUAUAUAGUAACUUUGCAUCUUCUUUAUAAAAAGGAAUAGAAUACUGCAAGAGUGCAAUGGCCAGAAAGUUGGCUCACUGAUUCAUGGGUACAAUUACAAAGUAUAACUUUCUUUCAGUAUCAAACAAGUAGGAUCAGGUCUGGACUGGCUUGCGUUGCUGUUUGUUAGGGGUAUUUUGGGUUGGGUUUAAGAAAGAAAAACAUGGCCUGGGCUUUUACAAAAAACGAACUGCUGAAGCAUCAAGCAUCUUAACGUUUUGCUUAAGGUCCUGGCAGAGUGGAUGGGGAGUUGCUCCCCACCCCAGUUUGGCGUGUCUCAACACUUUCCCUGCCUGUGAGUAUGAGUGUUGUCAGCUCGGUGACAACAUCAAGUAGUUAAAGCCACCACUUCAUGAGUCCACCAAAUAUUCCCUUGUGACCACCGUAACUGAAUAAUCCUAACUGUCCUACCCAAGAUUACAGCCUUACAGGCAGAUGAUAUGCAUUUGUCAUGAGCCGUGACCAUCAAAGAACUAACAUUAUUGUUCUGAGGGAUUAGUAUUACAAGUUCACCAUUUUUUUGCCAAGGUAUAAAUCUCCCAGAUGUGACUCAUCAUUGAAAUAUCCAACCCAUCAUGUUUGAGCUCUUGCAUCUCAAUUAUUGCUAGAUUCCUUUUAUGAUAGCAUUCUGGUUGAAGACUGCAACUUGUACCUGAAAAGAUACCAAACUCGAUCUCUAAGGAUUACCAAUAGUCAUUGCAAGAACAAGAACCCUCUUUAAAAUGGUGGAAGCGGUUACGGUCCCUCACAAUAAUUUCUCUAUGGAAAACCUUUGAUAUCAUCUUUGUCGCAUUAUGACAAUCAGUACACAUUCUGAGAUUCUUUGAGAUCCUUAUUGUAGUUCCAGGAGAAGUUCUGAUAAGACCAAAGGCAAUGGCUAACUUCUCACUAUGAUGAGACACUGAUGCUUCCUUAUCAUCUUCCUCUGCAUCAAACCUUGCCUCUGCGGUGUUAGGGACAUAACCGCUGGACUUGAUUCGCUUCAUCAUGUUCUCAACUGCAUCAUAUAUCUCACUUGAUCUAGGGUGAGCAUUGUCCUCGGCAAAGAACUCAUGUAUUGCCCCAUCUAUCUCAAUCAAACUGCAUCCUGGAGUCUUCUUCAUUCCCUGCAACUUCAUCUGACACCUUGCCCUUAAUGCAUCCUCCCACUUUCCUACUGAUGAAUAAAUAUUCGACAUAAGUACAUAAUCCCCACUAUUCUUGGGAUCCAACUUAACAAUAUGAUUAAAUGAUUUCUCUCCAAAUUUGAUAUUUUUGUGAACCUUACAUGAAGCCAACAAUGUUCUCCACACAACGGCGUUGGGUUCCAUUGGCAUACUCUUUAUGAACUGAUAUGCCUCUUCAAUCAAACCAGCUCGAGCAAGAAUAUCAACCAUGCAACCGUAGUGCUCAAUCCUCGGUUCAGUACCAUAAUCUAUACUCAUUCUAACAAAGAAGUCCCGACCCUCAUCAACUAGACCUGCAUGACUACAAGCAGAGAGGACACCAAUGAAAGUCACAUCACUUGGUUUUAUACCUUUCUCUCGCAUUAGGGAAAAAUACUCUAAGGCCUUUCUCCCCUGUCCAUUGCUAGCUAGACCUUGAAUCAGCACAUUCCAAGACAAGACAUUUUUCGAAGGCAUCUCCUCAAACACUUCAAGCGAAUUCUCAAUAGAUCCACAUUUCGCAUAAAAGUCCAUUAUGGUGGUCCCAAGAGUAACUGUGAGCUUCAUACGCUUCCUCUUGAUAAAGGAGUGCACCCAUGUUCCAGUUUCAAAAGCCCCUAAAUCUGCACAAGAAGAAAGAACACUUACCAUAGUAACCUCAUUGGGGUCCACUUUUGUCAUUUGCAUCUUAUGGAACAAAUUUAAUGCUUCUCUACAUCGAUCAGAUUGACUGUAACCAGAUAUCAUGGCACUCCAUGCAACGACAUCUCGCCUAGGCACCUUGUCAAACAAUUUUCUUGCAGUAUCAACCUUUUCACAUUUUGCAUACAUAUCUAUAAGAGAUGUGAUUAAUUUGAGGUUAUCUUUCAGGCCUUUUGCCUCAAUAUACUCAUGUAUCCAUUCCCCUAAAUCCAAUUUACCCAAUCUUCCGCAUGCCGUCAAAACAGUAGUCAAUGUAACCUCGUCGAAUCCAACCUUAGACUCCAACAUUUCUUGAAAUAAUAUUACAAUCUCUUCCCAAUGACUACUCUUCAAGUAACCUGAAAACAUUGCAUUCCAAGAAAUGAUUCCUCUUUCAGGCAAUUCAUCAAACACCCUACGAGCAACAUCAACUUUCCCACACUUUGCAUACAGAUGAAUCAAAGUACUCUGAACAAAACCAUGUGACCCAUAUCCAAAUUUCACAAUUUGGGCAUGGAUUUGUUCGCCUUCUUUUAGUGCGCAAAUUCUAGAACAAACUUUCAAAAUGCAGGCAAAUGUAAACUUAUCUGGUUCAACAUCAUUUUCUCUCAUUUCUUUGAACAGCAACACAGCUUCUUCAGGGUAUUGUUUCAAGGUAAAACCUCUGAUUAAAAUAUUAUAAGCAGCAGCUUGGGGUUCUUCAAUUGCGCGGAAAACCGCAAGAGCAUAAUCCAUGCUUCCAGGGAGAAGAAUGGCAGAGGAUUCAAGAACAUUUUCCGCAAUUUUGGGGUUGAGAACAAGGCUGCUUUUGAUAAGAUGGGCAUGAACUUGUUUAAGAUGAUUAAGGGUUUUGCAUUGUUCAAGAAUUAGGGUUUUGGGAUUGUUGGGAAAUUCAGAAAUUGGAGUUGUUGUUGUAGUUAGAGUUUUGGCGGGAAAGGACAAGAGGGAAAUUGCCAUUUUCUGAUUUCUGUUAUGCUGUUGAAUGAAGCGAGGGUCUUUUGAAUUAUGGUUGGUAGUUACUAUUAGCCGUUAUGGUUCAUAAGAUUUUGCUGAUCUGGCAAACCAGUCUGUUUGAAACAUUGAUAUCUAUUAUCUACUAUGAGCAUCUCUAAUGGGUCUUCUAUAUUUGAACGACACAUAGACCGUUAUGAACGACACAUAGGUGCCACGUCUUUUUCCAAAAAAAAUUUAUGAACGUCGUCCAAACCUAUAUCAGGGGCAUCCUUAACGCGCAUUGAUUUUUUUUUUUUUGCUAUAAUUCUAUUUUCCGCGCAGGUUCAACCAGCGUAGAAGUAUUUUUUGGGGGGCUGGACUUAAUUCUAGACCAAACCCAUUAUGGAUCUGUUUAAAUUGAAUGGAUCUGUUUUAACUUAGGCCCAAGUACGUUCCACACUGGUUCAACCUGCGUGGAAUUGUUUUUAAGCAACGUUCCAGUACUUCAUCUUUAUUUUCUUCUUCUUCAUCCGCCAUCCGCCAUUGUUAUCCUUCUUCAUCUUCAUCCACCAUUUUUAUCCUUCUUCUAACUCAAAAAUUAUGCCUCCAAAAAGGAGAUUGUGUGUUAAAAUUAUUCAAAACGUCUACCAAGGUACUAGUAGUAACACGGAAGAUCAAUCCGCCGAUAAUAUGGAAGUCGAAGUUGCGGAAAUCGAUUUUCCACCGUUUCGUGAAAUUCGAGAUUAUACACCAAGAGAACUUGCUCCAUGUACUGGAUCGCAUCUUAGAGCAUUCCCAAUGCAGGGUGGAUAAAUCCACCUCCACGUAGGCGCCACGUAGGUCCACCUAGGCAAAAUCCACCUCAAAGAGAGAGGUGUAUUUGCACCUGGGUGGUAGUCUCCCAACGCAGAGUAGUGGAUUUUUUUAAAAAUCCGGACGGCAUGUCACAUGCCAUCCGAGAGUCCAAAAGCUUUAAAACACUACUUAAACUUAAAAAAAAAAACGGACGGCAUAUCACAUGCCGUCCGAUUCUACCACCCACAGGUGGAUUUCAAGGUGGAUUUUCCCACCUUCAAAUCCACCUGUGGGCAGCCACUUUUCAAAAUCCACCUCCCCUUGGGACAUUGUUUUAGGUUUCAAGGUGGAUUUAUCCACCCCACCCCCAAAAUCCACCUUGCAUUGGGAAUGCUCUUAGUGAUAACAAGUAUAACGUGGAUGUAAGUGUUUGAUUUAAUUUUUGAUAAAUUUGAUUUUUAAUUGGUUUUUAAUUGAUAAACUGCUCGUUUAAUGUAGAGGAUGAACAAUUUGUCAUAUAAAGGCAAAAUGAAUAAUGUAAUGACUUGGUGGUCAUAUAUGGUGGAGAGGGGAAACGAUUUUGCUCAUGUACGUGACUGAAUACAAACGACACCAUUUGGGCCUCUCGUUUCUUUGACACCAUUUCGAACUGAUCGUCAACUUAUAUUCACGUUACUUGAACGAUGGUGGCCGAUUACACACACAUUUCAUUUGCCUUUCGGUGAGCUUGCUUUUACUCCCCACGAUUUUACUAUGUUUACGGGUUUGCGUGUCGGGGUAGGAGAGAUUGUGCCAUAUAUUUCAUCUUAUGAUAAUAACGAGUGUGAGGCUACUAUAUUAUUCCCAACUCUAAGCAACUAUGAGCUUGCUUGGAAGGAUGGGGAAAAACAAACAGGUUUACAAUAUGUUUUUUUUUAGAAUAUGUACAUGUUGCGUACCGUUGCUGAAAAUUCAUGGGUGUUAGAGCCCAAUUCAAUUGAAGAGGAUGAGUAUGUGUUAGCUUUUCUGUUAUACUUUGUGUCUGGGGUUUUGUUUUCUACUGGACAUAGUUGUGUGAAGUUGGGUUGGUGUGGAGCUUUGCUUGAUACAAUCAAGAUUGGAGACUACGAUUGGGGCGGUGCAGCGAUGGCACACAUGUAUUAUCGGAUGGAUUAUUUUUCUACGAGUGGCAAGAAAUUACACAACAUCGGUGGGUUCAUUUGGAUUCUACAAGUUAGUUAUUAUUUUUAAUAUUUAAUUAAUGUAAAGCAUAAAAGCAUGCAUGAUUAUUUAGAUUUUUUAUAUAAAUUUUUUAAUUAUGAAAAUUUUAUUAUGUAGUUUUGGUGGUAUGAGUAUCUGGGCACAUGUAAUCCGAUUUUGUUAGACUAUAAACCACAAGUUUUCCCUCGUAUCCUUAUUUGGGCCCUUGAAAACCGAGCCGAAAUGUUGGGAUUUAUAACGAAUAACUUUAAACAAGCAAGGGCCUCGAUCGAACAGAAAACUUGGGAUAGUAUUAGGUGGAUGCCUUGGGCUGGUUUACCCUCAAACAAUGUACCAUAUAUUGAGACCUCUAGAAUCAUAUCUCAGACAAGAGUGGUUUUAGUUUCUCCAGAGAUAAUGGUUUGGUUUUUAGGGGAUAGAUGUUUACGACAGAUAUCUGGUAUGAUAGCUAUUCCUCAUCCUCCACCACCUGAUAUGGCUCCAGUGAGUCUUCCUUUGGAGCAGAUUUUGACUCGUAGAUUAUCAUUUAAUUGUCCAAUUAGUUCAAUGUUUUGUCAGUUUGUUUCGGCUAUGGAGUACCAGUUGUAUUGGAACACUGUUGAUGGGUACAAUCUUUUGAUAUUAGGGUUUUUUCUGUUGAUGGGUAUAUCAUUUCAUAAUAAACUUUUUAGUUUGUUAAUGGUUUAUUUAUUAUUAAUUUAAAAUAGUAAUCAAAAUAUAUUAAUAAAAAUAGUAAUACAUCAAUCAAAUUAAAUUCGAAAUACAUCUCUAAUACAUUUUAACCUUCAUACUCUUCACCACAUGUUGAACAAAACAUUUUACCCAAUACAUAAUCAAAUUCAAACGAAUCAUGGCUACAAUUUUCGGAAAGCACAUGAAUUUCAUUUUCAUACUCAUCAAUAAGUCGAUUAAAUUCAUCAUCGAUACGCUUUUGUUCUUCGAGUGUUAAUGGUUUCUCUUCUUCGAUGAUUUCUUUCUUCAAUUCUUCACGUUUUUCAUCUUUCGAAUCUUCCAUGAUAACUAAUUAAAAAAAAUGGAGAAUAAAUCGAGUUGAGAAGAAAUUACCAGAAGAUGAAAAAGAUGGAAGUCUGUAAUGUACAGAUGAUGAAGAAGAUGAAGUUAUAUAUAUAUGUUACACAAAUUAUAGCCGUUGAAAAAUUAUGUUCCACGCUAGUGCAACCAGCGCGGAACAAAAAAAAUUUGAUUGAAAUGGUUCCACGCUAGUUGAACUAGCGUGGAACAAAUAAUUUUAGAAUUUUCCUAUAAUCCUAUCUCUCCAGCGAUUUUAGCCAAACUUUUAGCAGCCCGGCCCACCACGUCCUACGUGGAUGGCCGACUGCUUUUUUUAUAGACGACGCAUUAGGGCUGAUUUUUUACCGAAUUCCUAUAAUUUUGGAUAUAAAAGACCCAUUAGAGAUGCUCUUACUAAAACAAAAUCUGGAGCAGCGAAUAUGGUGUUGGAAAUGUUUUGAGUGGUCAAAACAUUUGUAUAUGAAUGAGAAAUUAAAGUCCUAAGUUAUCCACUGAUCAUGGCUAACUUGUGUUAUAGUAGAUAAAUAUGUAUGUAUUUCACAUAUAUUGUAUUUUGUUCAACCCAUCCCAAUGGAUGUGUCUUUCCCUAAUAGACACAUACUUUGUAGACACUCAUUCCCAAUGAGUGUGUCUGUUCCCAGUGUACAUUGUAUUGGGUCAAGUGUCUAUUCAAAUAUGCAUUGAAUAGACAUGUGCCUUUUGAAAAAGUAUCUUUCCUACUAUAUAAGUGUGUCUUGUGUUUGUAGUCAAAUAACUUUUCAAUGAAUUGUUUUUCCAUUCUAGUGUCUGUGUCUUGUCAUGAGAGAGUAUAACAAAGAAUUGGUUCGUUGUCUUCUAUGCGUUUGAAGUGCUGCUACGCUAAGAAGGAUAGAUCGUUGUAUCCUGGGAGACAGUCCGUCAUUGAUAAACCGUUCGGCACAUGUACGGGGCAAAUAAUAUCUUAAGGAGAGAGAUUUUAUCUUGACUCGAUCUAAAUCUUGUUCUUCAUCCAUUUAUUCUGGUUUGCAUCAUCUAUUCCCUUUUUAUUGAUUUUAGAACAGUAAUAUAUAAUAUCGGUGUAUAUUUUUCUACAUAUGGAUGGUAUCUCUAGAAAGUCGAUUGUAUGGUUAGGCAAGCAGCCAAAUUUCUAGGAAAAGUUUUUAGUAUUUGCGGAUGGUUGAAUGCUGAGGAAAAACAACAUUUUGAAUCAUCAAAUUUCUUGACUACAUUAGUUGUUUUUCAUUUGGUGUUCUCACGACCAAGUUGCUUGUUUGUGUCGACUUUACAAAUCACAAUGAUUCAAAUCAUAGACAAUCUCUUUUCAUUGAAAUAUACCACAACAAUCUCAGCUCAAAGAGCAUCUGAUGGUGUUGAAUUGUUGAUAAUCCACCCUCGACGAUUGCGUGUGCACUUAAAGAUGCCAAGCCACUGCCAAGGAUAUGCAUUAAAACGUUCUGCUGUGCACCGUUUUUGAAUUUCAAUGAUCAGGAUGUUUGAGAGAAUAUGAUGCUUUUUAAUUUUAUUUUUUCUGGUAAAUGAAAUUUUAUUAGCUUAAAAUUUUACAGUGCGACAAGUUGUAAUACCCUGCAUAUCAUGUACAAUACUAUUACAAAGCCAAGAUGGCGGGGAGAGCCACACCAGAAUGAGUCAAAUGGGGACAACAAGACUCGGAUUUCUUCUGGAUGCGCGGGCAGAUGCACCUGAGCAUGUCGUUGUUGCUGGAGUUCAGUUGCUUGUAGAGUAGCAUAUUUAGCUAAAAACAUUGGCGACAGAAUUCGCUUCUCUAUAAUUCCAAGUGAAACUACAUUCUGGUAGUUCGUGAAGAAGUUUGCGUAUUUCCGUCCAUAGUUCCUUGAUUGCAAUUAUUGGAACCUCUGAAUUUUGACAGAUAUAAAACACGGCUAUUGAGUCCACUUCCAUAUAGAAUGUCUAACAGAAAAGUUGCCUUCCGGCCUGACAACAAUCUUAUGAUGCACCAGGAUGUUUGUCAGCAGCAGGACGCAGAUGGCUACCAUGUUCGUGUUACUACAACAGAAUGGGUUCCUGCACCAUAUCUUCAGAGUUUGUUCUUCUGGACAAACUCUGAAGGAUUAAUGUCUUUAAAGAGACAAACCAAGGUGUAGAUUUAAUUCAUAUUCUUCAACUAAUUUAUAUGGAGUAUAAAUUAAUUUUGGUGCUGACCAGGCAGCUAAACAGGGAGCCAGAAUGAAAUACAACGAGAUCGCAAUGCUGAAAGGAAUUCCAUCAUGGAUUAAAAGUAUAGAGAGUGCAAACAUCUUGUAUUUCAGAUUCUGUUGAAUCAGUGGAGUCUGUAGAGCUUAUGCUCAAUUUUUGUAUCUGUGCAUCUUUUCAUUUGGUAAUGAAUAAAACACCCUUAGCGAAAAAACAAAUAUAUGGAGUCUCCCUUAUGUAGCUCCUAAGCCUUAAUUACACUGUAAUUGGAUUACGCUAAGUAGGAAAAUCAGUGUAGAACAAAUAAAGUUUUCAUUGAUAUCUUCAUCUAGGACCAGAAAGAACAGAUGGUAAUAUAGGAGAUGAAUCAAUUACUCCUACUUUAUUGCAAACUAUUGAUACAGAGGACGGAAAGUUAUACAAGAAUUUGUAGUCUAGGUUUGGUUCGAUGUCCAUCAAAUCAUCUAAGACCUUCACUACCACAGACAUGGAAGGCCUUCUACAAAAAUCACUCUGUACACACCACACAACUAACUGCAUCAUCUUCAUAACUUCUUCGGUAUGUAACUUCAUAUCAUCGCACUUACUGUUAAUCAUAUUGUACAGUCCAUAAUCUUCUGCGUUCGUUUCUAAAAGACCAAGUAGAUGUAUGGAUUCUUUUGGCUUAGUGAAGUCUAGAUUUUUCUUCCCAACUAAAAUCUCCAAUAAUACAAUGCCGAAGCUAUAUACGUCUGCCUUUUCCGUGAUUACAAAGCUUAGCCACUCGGGUGCCAUAUACCCAGGUGUUCCUCGCAUUGCAGUCAUGACUUUGCUCUGAUCCUUGUCUAUCAACUUUGACAAUCCGAAAUCAGCAACUUUAGCAUUGAAUUUAUCAUCUAAGAGGAUAUUCUGCGGUUUUAUAUCCAAGUGGAGUAUUCUUUGUCUGCAUUCUUCAUGAAGGUAAGUUAGUCCCUUGGCUAUGUCAAGAAUUAUUUUGCGUCUAAUUUGCCAGUCGAGAAUUACUUCAUUUUUUCCACUGAAGAUCCAUUUUUCCAAUGAUCCAUUGCACAUGAACUCGUAAACAAGAAGCUUGUUUGACUUCUCAGCACAAAAUCCGAUAAGUUUUACGAGGUUGACAUGGUGAAUGCUUCCAAUUGUCUCAACUUCUGCCAAAAAUGACUGUUUAACAUGACCAAGUCCAUCUAGCCGCUUCACUGCAACUUUGGUGCCAUCGAUCAAGGUCCCUUUAUAAACAGAUCCAAACCCACCCUCGCCAAGUUUUCUGCAGAAGUUCUCAGUUGCAGUCUUUAAUUCUUCAUAAGAGAAUCUCAUAGGAGUUGCAGAUAAAAGAUCAAGACAACUAUCAUUCUUCUCAACAACAUUCCUUUUCCUUAAAAGACAAACUGUGACGAGCGUAAUCAGAAGUACAGCAAAUGAAGUUCCAAGCGAGAUUUUCAGAAGCACACGAUUUAUAUUUUCAAGAGAACUAUCUGUUGGGAUUGCAGCUGUUUGCACCUUAAUAUUGACUGACCACUUUGUUUUGUGCUUGAUAUGACUUUCAUAGUUAAUCAAAGAAAAUAUCUGAGACUCCAUGUAGCACUCCCCAAGUGACAUAGUGUCACUAUAGCUAAAGAAAGACACUUUGCAAGAACAAUUCCGUAAACAAGCCAGCGCGCAGUUCUCAAUAUCAGUGUUUAUCACAUCAUUCCCAACAUUGAAGUAAGUAAUAUCAUUGAGGCUCAGAAUUUGAUGAUACUCUUGUAAUUCACAAGACAAUGGAGUAGAUACCGUGCAACCAAGAUUUGGUUGCCUUUGAUCCACUGGAUAAAAGUAAUAUUUUCCACCUUCAGUAUUUUCUGGACAGGUGCAUUGACCGUUCGAACAAAUACCAUAUUUGCCACAUGCGAGAGGAUAGUGGCAGUCAUCAACUUCCGAGAAAAGAUCAUGCACCUGCUCCCACUUUGUAGUCCAUGCGUAAACCUUCAAAUGCCCAUCAGAAUCUAACUUCAUGAACUGAAGAUUGGAAGAUAAAGGAGGGAUUAGAAUUUGCCACAUUGGGUUUUCAGAUUCUGAGUUGUUCACAUAUAAAGAUAGACUACCAUUUACGAAUUCGACAUAGCUUGUUUCAUGAACUGUCUUUGCAAAGUAAGACAAUGGAGAAUUGGAACCAAUGAAAGCAAAUAGGCCUUCACUUGUAACAGUGAGAUACUGUGAACCUUCGUUCCAACUUGUUGUCGAUGCACUAGCAAUAAGCUUUUGUCCUGCAACCAACUUUUGCCCAAGAACUAAAGUAUCAGUGGGAUGAUCAAAAGAUUGCCAGAUAGAAUUGUUAUCUGCAUCGAGGAGCGCAAGGUUCCCCAUCUCGGUAACUUCAAGGCCAAUGACAGAUCUUCCAGUGGUGUUUGUAGACCAAACAGGAGAUGUAUCAUUGACAUCUCUCAAGAUUAAAUCGCCUUCUAGAGUAAAUUCCAAUGUUGAGUUUUCUCCAACAGGACUGUUCCGAUUGGCUGACCAUAUUAGUUGAGGGUAUCCUGCAUCAUCUUUAUGAUAGUGCACGAAGAUUCCAAGUAUGAAAGAAGUACAGUCUUCAUUACAGUAGAAAGCAAGGGAAAAAUGUGGAUUAAGGACUGGCGCGUCAAUGAUGAAUCUUGCCAUAGAUCCAUCCUCGUACUUCUUUGUAAGACAAGAGAAUGGAUUGUUGGUCCAUUUCGUCGAGAUGUUAACAUAUUGGCUAUCAAUUGAGUGAAAAUAACAGAUUAGAAAGAUAAGCGGGUAUUGAAAGAGACACCGGCAAGAACCCAUUAGAUCAAAGCCGAUGAAGGUAACCAAAGGUUGAAGUUCUCUGUACAGAUAAGUAUUUACAAAGCUCACUGUCUUCCCAGACUUUCAUAUAUAAAAAUGUUUCUCAUUUUACUAAAACAAGGUGAUGAAGUUUUCAAGAAAAGAGAUGUUCAAGACCAAAGCAUGUUUAAGGAAUCUUAAGAAAUAAGAGUGAAAGACAAACACUAAAUUUUGAGGACAAACACUAAAUCUUGUGGUCUGAAAUGUUUAGUAAAAGGUCAUUUGUCGAAGAUUGCGACUCCCUACCUAGAAAACGAUCUAGUGCACAUAAAUAUAUUCCUGCAGGCUGUUCAUGUAGACAUUCAUAUGAUGCACAUUAUAGCACAGUCACCUUGCACUCUUGCAGUGUCAUGCAGUGCAGUCAUUACUCAUUUGUCUUGCACUCUUGCCCAUUACCAAUAUAUAUGGGUAGACCGGCAGACUGAACAUUUUACCCUGGAGAACGUCUUUAUAGAGAAGUACAUUGUAUCAAGGAUUACAUGCAUUUGUAGAUUUAAGGACUGAUUUGAACUCAAACCAUUCAUUUAUCUACUGUUCAACGCAGAGAAUAUUAUGUCUUACACUGUAUCUUGUCGGCAUUUUUAUGUUUCCUAUGACCCACUGAUACAAAUUACUAGGCAAAUAUACUAUUGAAUGCGAAAUUAAAUAAUAGCAGUAAAUAAAGAUGAACAAAAACACAAGAUCUCGAAGAAAACUAUUUUCUUUACUGAAUAUUAUGAAGAUUACAAGAAUCUCUGCCUCACAAUACUCUCUAGACAAACUAAACCCUAUGUCUCAAUAUUUCUAAACACACUAAACCAUAGUGGUUUCUCUAAACAACUAAAUAAGUCGUUUCACUAUGUUUUGGUUUAUGCCAAAACAUCAAUCUAAACAAACUAAGCACUACAUGUUUCUCUUUCCAUAUUUUGGUUUAUGCCAAAACAUAUAUUUAUAGGCCAAGGAUUUCCCUUUUCCUAAAAUUCUAUCCCUUAUGGAACAAGGAAACCUAUUUAAGGUUUUCUUUUCUUUGUCCUACAAGGAAAAGAAACUGCUAAAUUCCCAAGUAGGAUACACCUGUAUCACCCACGUUUACACCUGUAAUUAUCGAUUAGUUAGUGAAAAAUAUGUAUUUUCUCAAAUGAGCAGUGUGGUUGUCCUGGAGUUACCUGCAAGGAAGAAAGUUAUUUUAGGCUAAUCAAUCACAGGCAACCAAAUGAGGAGUGCACAGAGAUCACCACAUUGUCUUGUGAAACUUCUCAUGAUCGCCAACUCCUAGAUCUCAAAGAUGUUACCUAUUUCUAUUUUCCAGCCAAUAUUACCAGAACAGAUAUUGAGAGUUGCAAGCAAGCCUGUCUAAAAAAUUGCUCUUGCAAAGCAGCUCUGUUUAGGUAUGUGGUAAAUGUACUUCGCAUGGAAGUUGAUUCUUGCCAUCCCAACUCUUCUCACUUAUGAACAUGAGAAGGAUAUGACCCAUUAUAACUCUUCCACAUUCAGAAGCAUCACAGACUGAAUUUAUUCCUCCAACUUCUCAGAACAAAAUCAACUAGUACAGGAAUUAUACUGGGGUCAAGCCUUGGAGCAUUCUCUGGUUUACUUCUUAUAAUAGGCAUUUCAGGAAAAAAGCCAGUGAUGAAAAGGACGAGGAAUAUCUAAAUCAAAUACCAGGCAUGCCUACAAGGUUCACUUAUGAUGAGUGAUGACUUAAAGGUUGCAACAGGAAUUUUCUUAAGAAGCUUGGACAAAGAGGGUUUGGAUCAGUGUUAGAAGGAACUCUGGUUGAUGGCAGUAAAGUUGCUGUUAAAUGUCUUGAUGGCAUUGGGCAAGUAAAGAAGUCCUUCUUAGCCGAAGUCGAGACUAUAGGAAGCAUUCACCAUGUCAACUUGGUUAGAUUGGUUGGAUUUUGUGGUGAUAAAUCCCACAGGCUAUUAGUAUAUGAGUACAUGUACAAUGGCUCCUUAGAAAAAUGGAUAUUCAAUCAACAUCAGGAAUCAUCACUUAGUUGGCACACAAGGCGAAAGAUCAUACUCGACGUGGCAAAAGGUCUGACGUAUCUCAAUGAAGAGUGCAGACAAAAGAUUUUUCACUUGGAUAUUAAACCUCAAAAUAUUCUCAGAGGACGACACUACGACAGCUUCAAUGCUAAGGUUUCUGAUUUUGGAUUGUCUAAGAUGAUGGACACAGACCAAAGCCAAGUUAUGACAACAAUGAGAGGAACUCGUGGAAAAGUACAUGUAUAUAGCCUUGGAGAUUGUAAGUAGAAGGAAAAACUUGGACUACUCUCAGCCUGAGGAAAACAUGCAUUCACUUAGUGUAUUAAAGGAAAAGCAGAGGAAAAUCGACUCUCUGACAUGGCUGACGAAAAACAGCAAAGACCAAUUUUUUCUAUUAAUAAUGUGAUUUUUCGUAAUUUCGAGCUAUGGUCAUAAGAUUUUGUUGAUCUGGCAAACCAGUCUGAUUGAGUUGUUUUGAAACAUUGACAUCUACCAUGCAUUUUUACUUACACUUACUAAACAAAAUCUCGAACAUCGAAUAUGGAUAGUAUCUCCCGAAAAAAAGUCGAUUGUAUGGUUAGGCAAGCUGCCAAAUUUCUGGAAAAAGUUUUUAGUUAUUUGCAGAUUGUUGAAUGCUGAGCAAACACAACAUUUCUAACUUCCUAGUAGUUGUCUUUGAUUUGGUGUUCUCAGGACCAGGUUGCUUGUUUGUGUUGAAUUUACAAAUUAUAGACAAUCGCUUUUCAUUGAAAGAUUGCACAAUAAUCUCAAAGAACAUCUAAUGGUUUCGAUAAUCCACGCUCACCAUUGCGUGUGCACUUAAAGAUGCCAAGGAUAUGCAUCAAAAAGCUCUGCUGCGCAUCUUUGUUGAAUUUCAAUGAUCAGGAUGCAUGUUUGAGAGAAUAUGAUGCUUUUAAUUGUUAGGCUUGGUUCAAAAAGUAAAAGGUAUUAGAUUCAAUCUUAUCUCAUCAGAAUAAAACUUUAGCCUAUAAAUAAUGGACUAAGGAAAUACAGAUUAUAUGACCAUAGCUUGAAAUUACAAAAAAAAUCACAUUAUUGAUACAUAUAGAAUGUCUAACAGAAGAGUUGCCUUCCGGCCUGACAACAAUCUGAUGAUGCACCAGGAUGUUUAUCAGCAGCAGGACGCAGAUGGCUACCAUGUUCGUGUUACUACAACAGAAUGGGUUCCUGCACCAAGUACUUUCGACAUCCCUCACUAUCCAAAUCUUCCUAUCCUCUUCAACAACCAGGCAGGUGAACAACUAUAUGGAAAUCGCCGUGAGGAACAUCUACUUCCAAAGCAUAAAGAGAAGGUUCAUAUGAAUAAGCAUGUUCACUUUGAAGAAAGUAAUGAAGGUAAUCAUCGCCCCAGGCGAACUUCUUAUGAAGAAGAUGUCAACAUGGAAGCUGAUGAUUUCAUCAAGCGCAAACACAGGGCACUAGAACUAAGUAAAACCAUGUCAAUGAAGGCUUUUCAAUAGAUGGAAGAAUGAUGGAUUGCAUAUGUCUACGUUUAAACAGUUCACCCCCAUCCCCCACCCCAAUUAUAAAAAACAACCUAUGUAGCUUAUGCGUGAUUGUAAGCUAAGUUCAGAUUAAAUAAAGUGAACUCCAUUCAAUUAUCUUUUUGAUAUAAUAUAGUGGUAUUAUUUGUCUCCAAAAAAAAAAACUCAAUAUAUGUACAAUUGUGAUCUGCAUGCGACUAGCACUGCCAACAGGUAGAUAUGACCCAGACCAAACACAAACAGUAUUAUCUGAUGGUACAUGAUGGUAUUAUAAAGGCCAGCAAUUAAUGGCUCCAUUUAGCAUGCUGAAGUUGAACAAAGUCACAAACAUACAUUUUUACUUUUAAUGUGAAUGAAAAAUAAGACGACAGAUCGAGCUUGGGAUAAUUAAGCAAUCCCUGAGCAGCACCUUCACUAUAGCCUUGCCACACACGCAUUCCCAUAGGCCCCAAGGGUAGGCUGAGAGCUAUCACCACACUGGUUUAGGCCAAGAGAAACAACUGAACUUAAGCUAAGCACAUGCAGUAUUAUUAAGUGUUAAGUGUUGAAAUUAUGAAACCAAGAACCAUUCUACGCCUGUGUUUGUGAUUAAACAGAACCUGCAGAGUGCAGAGUAUAAGUUGAAAGGAAGAAGUUAGUACCAGCAGGCAGCAAAAUAGAUGUUUGAAUUCCUUACUUAAUAGUUUUAACAGCACUGGAGACUAUUCAGGUUUGGGAACUAAACUAGAAACAUGAAUAACUAAUGUAGUAAGUAGUAACAUACAUACUAAAUUACUAAUGCUAAUGAUAUAUUCACCAAGUUACAGACAGAUAGCUAGUUGAUGGCCUAGUUCAAUUUUCUUGCUGUGUUUGAGGCCUUGCUAAGUUGCUAUAUAUGAACUCGAUCGUGUUAUGACUGAAAAAACCGAAAGACGAAGACCUCACCCUACGACUCGACAUUUAUUGAAUCAAUCAUGUAGCUAUCAUGAUUCAUGCAUCAAUAAUCUGCAAACUACUGAAUGACUGAACAUUGAACACAAAAUCAUCACAGAGAAAAAACAAGAUUAACUUUCUUCCUUUGGACUUGUUCUAAUGGAUCCAUAACCCAAUUACAAACCGACCUACUUAUACACGUGGAUCUGAUACAAAUGAAGAACUUCUAAGACUCAUCAACUUAGAAGAAAUCAAAUACCACCUUGAUGGGAUUGGAGCUCUAAAAGCCCCUGGACCUGAUGGAUUUCCCAGUAUCUUCUAUCAGAAUGCUUGGAACCUAGUCCAUGGUGAGCUACAUGUCCUAGUGACUAACUUCUGGUGUAACAAUGCCUCCAUAGAACACAUUAAUACAACAAACAUCACUCUCAUCCCCAAAGUGACAUCUCCAACUCAACCCUCUGAGUUUAGGCCUAUAAGCCUCUGUAAUGUCACUUAUAAACUCAUUUCUAAGAUCCUUGCUUCAAGACUUAAAUGUCUACUCCCUAAAAUUAUCUCCCCCCUUCAAUGCGCUUUUGUCGCUGAUAGACAAAUCUCUGAUAAUAUUAUUCUCACUCAUGAGAUAAUUCACACUCUCAAGAGAAAACAAGGCAACAAUGGUCUUAUGGCCAUUAAGAUUGAUAUGUCAAAAGCCUUUGAUAGGGUUAAUUGGGAAAGUCUUAUCACUUCUCUCCAUUCAAAUGGCAUAGAUCCUAUUUUCUUAACUCAUGUAGAAAAAUGUUUUUCUACUAUUCACUCUUCUGUCUUGGUUAAUGGAACACCUUAUGGGUAUUUCCAACCUACUUGUGGUCUUAGACAAGGUGAUCCCAUCUCACCUGCUCUAUUCAUCCUGUCCAUGGAACUCCUCUCUAGAAUGAUACAACAAAAAUGCAAUGAAAAGAAAAUUCAUGGGAUUAAGGUAGCUAGAAAUAGCUCACCAAUAUCCCAUCUUCUUUUUGCUGAUGAUGUGUUCAUUUUCUGUAAUGCUAGUUUGGAAGAUUCGAAAAAUGUCAUUGAAACUCUUCAAGAAUUCUGUAAAAUCUCUGGGCAAAAGAUAAAUUUUCAUAAGUCUGGGAUUCUGUUUAGUAACAAUACAAACCCCAUACUCAAAAAUCAAAUAAUGAACUCUCUUCAAAUGAACUACCUUAAUAAGGAAGACCUUUACCUGGGAGCACCUCUCUUUCUAGGCCAAAAAAAAUCUAUCAUGUUCAAGAACCUUGUUACUAGAGUUGAAAAAAGGAUUGCUGGUUGGAAAGGUAAAGUCCUAUCCCAAGCUGGUAGGACUAUUCUUAUUAACUCAGUCACCUCCUCCAUUCCUUCUUACCAAAUGUCUUGUUUCAAAAUCCCGCUAACCAUAACAAACAAGCUUAAUGCUAUCCAAAGGGAUUUUUGGUGGGGUAAAACUGAUAAAAAUAAGAUCAUGUAUCUCAAAAGUUGGAAAUCCAUUUGUGUUCCCAAGAGAUGGGGAGGGUUAGGGGUCAAAGACCUCACUACCCAAAAUGAAGCUCUCUUAUCUAGGACUGCUUGGAGGGUGAUAACCAAAUCUUCUAAUCUUUGCUCUCAAACUCUUAAAGUAAAGUAUUUUACAAAUACUAGUCCCUUUAGGUGUAAGAGACUUAACAACUCUUCUUGGGUAUGGAAGUCUUUAGCCCCCAUUAUUCAGAAAAUGGAAAACCUUAGUUGUUGGGAAGUUAGAGAUGGAAAAUCCACAAGUAUAAGGGAAGACAACUGGAUACCUAGCAUCCAUGGUGACAAGGCUCUACACUCAAAUCUCAGCCCUGACCUGCUUUAUGUCAAAGAUCUCAUCCAACCAAACACUAAUAAUUGGAACACCAGCCACUUCCAUGCAAACUUCCCCUACCAUACCACACAUCAUAUUCAGAACACUAGAAUAGGUUCACCUCAACUAAAGGACAAUAUCAAAUGGAUGGGAUCAAAAAAUGGGAAACAUUCUGUGAAGUCCAUGUAUAGCCAUCUAACAACACAGGAAAUUAGGGGAACCAUAAAUCAGAAAAUAAAUCUCAAAUUAUGGAAAUUUGUGGCAUCCCCUAGAGCUGUCCUUUUCUCUUGGAAAUGCUAUAAUAAUAUAGUUCCUACCAGGCACUACAUUGGUAGACAUGUCACCUUACCUUCUCUAAGUUGCCCUAUGUGCACUUCCCCUGUUGAAACUCUUAAGCAUAUGUUAAUUGAGUGUCCUUACACUCAGGCAGUCUGGUUCCUCUGCAAGUGGAAUUUCAGACUUGUGCACUUCCAAAACCUCACUGUCACCCAAUGGAUGAACCUCUGGUUUGCCCCUGACCAAAGCUGGCUCAUAGAUAAAAGUAUUUGGUCUUCUCACUGUGUUAUCACUACUUGGAAUAUAUGGAAAGCUAGGUGCAACAAAAUUUUCAAAAACACACAUACACCUGCAAAUUUACUAGCAUCCAGAUUGAUAGGGAAGUCGACAGAUACAAUGGACAUUCUAACCCAUCUGUGAAUCAACAAAGAAAAGAUGAAACCUCUAUCUGGAUUCCCCCCUGGAAAAAAACAGUCUGAAGAUCAAUGUGGAGAUCAAGUUCACAUCAGCAAAUGAACUUAUUGGCAUUGGGUUAAUCAUUAAAAACUCUAUGAGAAGUCUACUGUAUGCAGGUUCAGAAUCCAGGAAUGCGAGCAAUUCAGAGGAGGCAGAAUGUUAUGGUAUUUUGGCAGCCAUCCACAAAGCCAAAGAGCAACAACUCACAACAAGAAUUGUGGUGGAAUCUGACCAUCAAAGUGCAAUUCUAUAUCUUCAGGGAAAGCCUUGCAACCUCUCCUGGACUGCGCAAAGUAUUUUGGAUGAAGUGAAGUCCCAGUUUGCGUUUUUUGAUAAUAUUAGAACUAGCUUUUGUAAUAGAUCUGGUAACAUGGCUGCUCAUCUCAUAGCACAAAAUGCUAAUAUAAGUUGUCAUGGUACUACUUCUAUCUGUACCCCCUUCUUGGUUAGCUAAUCAAGUUCUAAAGGAUACAUUAUUUUGUAUCAGUAGUUCUGUUGUAAUUGAAUAACUUUUAUAUAUAUAUAUAUAUAUAUAUAUAUAUAUAUAUAUAUAUAUAUAUAUAUAUAUAUAUACAGAGAGGCUCUUAUACGGACCGUCCGCAUACGGACCUGUAAAACUCACGUGCUUUCUACUAAAACUAUCGUAAAUAUGGUUUCUGUUUCUGGGUGUAAUUAAACCCAAUUUAGACCCGUCUUCUUUCUCGAGUAUUACUGUGUACUUGUGUAGUGUGUACCUCUCCCUCCUUAUCUCCAAAGACACUCUCUUAUCUCUGUCUCUGUAUCUCUAUUUUUAAAUCAUUAAAAAGAAGAAAUAUACCUACUUGACUACUUCUUUCUCAUUUUUGUAAUAUAUUUGGAUAAAGUUUGUUCAUUAGUUCAAUUAAGGACCUCUGUAAAUUGGCUAGAUUCAUAAUGAUAAAAUUCUUGUUUUGGUAAUCUGUAAUCUAUCAAUUGCUAUGGUAGAGACCAAAGGGAAACAAAAUACCAAAAUGAAAAGCUUCUAUUCAUUUCUUUUUUCGAGUGGAACAUAGUCUCAAUUUGGUUUUAUUUGAUUCUUUUGUUAGAUCUGUGAAGAGUUGAGGAGAUAGUAGAGGUUGCAAACUGGAUUAAGAGAGAGAGAAUCUAAUUACAAUCAUAAAACGAGUUUUUGUUCUAACAAACUAAAACCAAUUCCGGGUCGCAGACGGGUUUAAAAGAACCCGGAUAGAGAACCAAAUUUACGAUACAUAACAAAGCACGAGACUUACUUAAAAUGACCAAGUCCGUAUGCGGACGGUCCGCAUAAGAGCCUGACUGUAUAUAUAUAUAUAUAUAUAUAUAUAUAUAUAUAUAUAUAUAUAUAUAUAUAUAUAUAUAUUUGUACAAAUAUACAACUUUUAUGUGAAUAAAGCUUCCUAAUUCAGUAAGUAUUGCGCCUCUUUUAUUUUAAUUUCUACUAUGUACUUUUUCUGUUUUAAUUUUAUGUGAAUAGAACCUGUUCUUCUUCAAUUUUCUUGUUCUGUUCUUUAUUUACUGUUUUCAUAUAUAAUCCUGGUUUAAAAUUGGUAUCAACGCCAUGUCAGCGUAAACUACUGUUGGGGAACAUGUAGUUGCUUAAUUAGGAUAAUUGUUCAAGAUGUGAACAAUAGUAUGGUAGUAGUUCUUUGUUGAAUUUUAUGAUUAAUCAUUUGACUUCGUCGCGUUGGACUAUUUUUAGUCUCCGGCUAGUAAUAGUUCUGUGUUUUGGUUCAUGAUUAGUCUUGACUUCGUCGCGUUGGACUACUUGUAGUCUCCGACUGUUAAUAGUUCUGUGUUUUGAUUUAUGAUGAAUGAAGGCAUAGUCAUGUGGUGACUACCCGUUUAGCCGCAGGCAGGUGGCCGUUAAACGUUUAGGGACAUUUGUCCGUAAUUCGUGAUGGUUGGAGUUCAUCAUAAAUCUUGAUAUGAAACUGUUAAUUGGCUGUGACGUAAAUCGUUGACUGUUGGAAUUAAUCAUGUAUUGAGAUAUGAAAUGGUUGUUAGCUGUGACGUAAAUCGUUGACUGUCAGCAUUAAUCAUGAAUAUUGAUAUAGAACUGUUAUUUACUGUUCUUCUCCUUUCUGAGUAAUUAUCUCUGUUUAAGAACUGCAUGAUCCCUAACAUCUUAUUGACAUCUUCUCUUACGUUUUAUCCGGUUUUAUAUUAAUAAUUAAAUUAUUUCAAAAUGUUUAAUAUGUUUAAAAAUAAAAAGAAAUUUCUGAAAAAUGAAGAAUGUAUCGAAAUCUCUAAUAUAGAGAAAAUGGAAAAUGAAUUAUUAAAUUGGGAUAUGCCCAAGAUUGAACCAAAAAGAAUUUAUAACAUUGGUUCUUUCGAUUAUAAAGUCGCUAUGUCUAUUAAGACAGUAGAACAUACCAUGCCAAUUAAUGGAAAUAAAAGAUCUAUUCCUUUAAUAACCGAACAAGAUAUUAUCAGAUAUCGACAAAAUUACCAUUACAUCAAUAUAGGAUUAAUCCAAAUUGCAGUAAAACCUUUACACCUGAAAGGUAUUGAUUGUUGUUUUCUUCUAGCCCUUAGGGAUGCUAGGUGUACCAACUAUCAAAAAUCCUUGAUGGGUAUUAUGGAGUCCACUACUAGUAAUGGACCAGUUUACUGUAACAUAUAUCCUAAUCUGGAAUUAUCUUUAUCUGAUGAUAAUAUUAUGCAAAGCGUAAUGAUGGACCUUGACACUAAAGGAUAUGAAUUUCUUUCUGGCUCAGAGGUUCUUAAUGUCGCUUAUAGAAUUCAAUUUAAAGUAAUGAACACUUUGAGUCCUAAUGCUAAAUUAAUUAGCAAUAAAAGAAAUACUACUAUUAUUGAAACAAAUUUAGGAAGGUCUAAUAUGGCCUGUAAUAAGGUUAUCCCUUGGGAUCAAAUUAGUUAUCCUGAAAACUGGGAUCAUCAGGGAAUUAUCCCUUCCCAACCAAUUAAUAGGAACCUGGAUCAAAUCACCCAAACUCCUGAAGGAGAUAUUGAAAUCCGGUUUUCUUCCAACAGAAUAUCUCGUCUCAAAUCUGUUAAAAACUUCUAUUCUUCGGAACCAUCUAGAGCCUCCACUUCUAGUAUUCCUGAUAAGAUAGAAAAUGAUUUUGAGAUUAGAAGAGUAAAAGAAUUUGAUAAUGCUAUUCCCCAUGGUCUUUAUACUAGGCCUUCUGCUCUUAAUCCUACCCCUUCAGAGAUGGAUUUCUCCAUUAAUGUGAUAGAAUUAACCAAUGAAUUUAAAGUUGAUCGUAUUGCCAUUAAUAAUGACUUUAAAAGUUCUAAAUAUGAUGCCUUUCGAAAAUGGUAUUUUGAUUAUUAUAAUAAAGGCCAACAUGAAUUUCUUAAAGAAAAAUAUUAUAAAUAUUUGGAUGAGACUAAAAGUAUUAUUCCUUUCGCACACUAUGUGCUAAGAUGGGAUAAAACUUUGGAAUCAUGCGUAAUUAAAGACUUUUAUAGGAGUUGGACUACUACUGAUGGUAGAAGCAUCAAGGCUAUUCAUCCCCCUACCCAGCCUCUGAAAUUAAUUAAUGAGUCUACUACUUUGGAAACUGUUGCUUAUGUUCAACCUUCCACUGAAGAAUCUGAAUUAAACAGGGUUUUUAAACAAUCCAAUUAUACCAAUUUAUGUUUACAAACUAUCGGAAAACAGCUUCUCCGUAUUGAAACCGCGGUUAGUAAACCUGAACCUAAUGAAGAAAUCUUCCCUGUUAAUAUUAAACCUCCUCCUGAUAUGAAGUUUAAUUUGGGAAGUAAUAAAUUAAGUCAAAAUAAUUUUAUCGAAGAACUUACUAAAAUAUUAAAAGGAAUAAAAUUAACCGAUAAUCAUAUUGCUGUUUUAUCACAAAAUGAUAAUUUUAUUAACAAAAAUUUAUCAGAUGAAAAUAUUGAAGAAUUUCAAAAUAUUCUGCACAAUAUGGAACAAGAAGUUAAUGAACUUGAUUUUAGCAAAUCUAAUAAAGCUAAAAUACCGCCUACUCGGACAUAUUAUCCUAGGCCCACUCCUACAGACCUUCUAAAUGAAGAAGAUUAUAUUGUUGUACAAACUUCAUACAGUGCUAAAACUAUCUACGAAUAGAAUAUAGAUAGUUUAUCUGAAUAUCUAAUAUAUGUCACUUUACAUAAAAUGCUUAUGUUUGCUACUGUUUAUAAAAAUUCCAAUAACACGAAUAGACAAACAGCUAAUUGUAUUAUAGCCGGAUUUACGGGCCAAUUAAAAGGUUGGUGGGAUAAUAUUCUUACCCCUAGUCAAAAGGAAGAAAUUUAUAGUUCUAAAAAACUAGAACCCAGCACCUCUAGACAACCUAUUCAAAGUGAGGAUGCAGUCUAUACCUUAAUUCAAACGAUAAUUAAACAUUUUAUCGGUAAUACUAUGACUGCCCAUGAACGAGGAAAAGACUUGCUCAUGAAUUUAAAAUGUCCAACGUUGACUCAUUUUCGUUGGUAUAAAGAUGUUUUCAUGGCUAAAAUCACUGUUAGGCAUGAUGGUAAUAAUGCCUUUUGGAAAGAAAAAUUCAUUUCUGGUUUACCUCGUCUAUUUGCCGAGAAAGACAAAAAUAGACUUAAAAAUAAACAUGAUGGGAUUCAGAUCCCUUAUGAUUUCUAUACUUAUGGUGAACUUAUUAGUGAAUGCACUUCUGAGGAUCUAGCUCUCUGUAAUGAUAUUCGUCUUAAAAAUCAGCUUAAAACCCAAAAUUUAACUGGGAAAAAUGAAUUAGGACAAUUUUGUGAACAAUUUGGGUAUGAUAUGCCUAAACAGAGAAAUAAAUAUGUUACAUCUCAAAAAAGAGUUUCUAAGAAACCUUUUCGUAGGAAAUCUUCAAGUCACACUUAUAAAAGACCUGACCAGGUCUUUUCCAAGCAAAAAUCAAAUUCUUACCCAAAAAGGGAUUCUAAGAAUUUAAAAAAUAUUACUUGCCAUAAAUGUGGCAAUAAAGGUCACUAUGCUAACCGAUGUACUUCUAAAACUGAUAUUUGUAAACAAAUUAACGAAUUAAGCAUUGACGACAAUGUUAAGAAACAAAUCAAUCAAAUUCUUGAUAACUAUGAACCUUCUAGUAGUUAUUGCUCUGAAGAUUCUUUUGACCAAAUUAUGGAAAUAGAAGAGCUCACUAAUAGUGAUUCUAGUAGCGGUAAUCAGUCUGGAAAAGGUUGUUCUACAUAUUGCAAGACUUCCCAAGACUAUUACAAAGCUAUUAUUGAUAUGAAUGGGCUUAAUAUUAAUGUCCUAUCUGAAAAUCAGACUUUAAUUCUUGACAUUAUUGAUAAAAUAUCUGAUCCUAUUGAAAAAAGACAGGCUAUUGAGAGACAUUUAGAAAAUUCUUCUAAUACCAAUCUAAAUUCCAGUAUUUUAAAACCUUAUUCUUUACAAGAGGUUUUUGAUAGAAUUGAAUCAAGAACUAUAGUUAAAGAAACUACUAUUUUUGAUCUCAAAGGAGAAAUGAAUAAUUUAAAAGUUGAAAUAGAAAAUCUGAGGUGGAGAAUUUCCCAACUUGAAACUAAUAAUACUCUUCCUCCUCCUACCAUCACUAAAGAUGAGAUUGGGGAUUUAUUAUCUCUGAAUCAUAGUAUUAAUCAUUAGCAGUAUUCAUGACUAUGCCUUCAUUCAUCAUAAAUCAGAACACAGAACUGUUAACAGCCGGAGACUACAAGUAGUCCAACGCGACGAAGUCAAAACUAAUCAUGAACCAAAACACAGAACUAUUACUAGCCGGAGACUACAAGUAGUCCGACGCGACGAAGUCAAAUGAUUAAUCAUAAAGAUCAACAAAGAACUACUACCAUACUAUUGUUCACAUCUUGAACAAUUAUCCUAAUUAAGCAACUACAUGUUCCCCAACAGUAAUUUACGCUGACAUGACUCUGAUACCAAUUUUAAACCAGGAUUAUAAAUUAAAACAAUAAAUUAAGAACAGAACAAGAAAAUAUAAGAAGAACAAGUUCUAUUCACAUAAAAAAGUAAAACAGAAAAAGUACAGAGUAAAAAGAAGAGAAAACUUACAGAAAAGAAGCUUUAUUCACAUAAAAGUUGUACUAAUUGUACAACUAAGUAGUAUACCAAUUUUAAACCAGGAUUAUAUAUGAAAACAGUAAAUAAAGAACAAAACAAGAAAAUUGAAGAAGAACAGGUUCUAUUCACAUAAAAUUAAAACAGAAAAAGUACAGAGUAGAAAUUAAAAUAAAAGAGGUGCAAUACUUACUGAAUUAGGAAGCUUUAUUCACAUAAAAGUCGUAUAUUUGUACAACUAAGUAGUAGAUAUACACCCCCUGAAGAAAGCUUCAGGUAAAAACUAAAGACUGAAAGGUUGAAAAACCAAAAGAUUUACAAGAAGAAAAGAAAAGAUUACAAAAGAAGAGCAAAAGGGAGAAGAAGAGAGAAAGCUAAGCAAGUGUCGAAGCUUGUUCUCUUUCAUUUACAAAGGCCUCUUAUAUAGGCAAAGUGAAAGGUGGGUCCCAUUGAGCACCUUGUGAUGUGUGGGCCCCAUUGAGCAUCUUGUAAGUGGGUGGGCCCCAUUGAGCACCAUGUGAUGUGUGGACCCCAUAUUUUCUGUCGGAGUCUGAUAAAUGGGCAGACAUACUGUCCUGUGGAUACUGUUUUGUGGUCCCAUAUGAUUUGCGGGAUCUGAUAAAGAAGACCUAAUAAGGGAUAUAUUUGCUAAAUUUCAAUUCUUUCUUUGGCUGUUAUAGAAAAAGUAAGAUGUAGAAGCUGGAAAGAUGAUUUGGAAUAAUAGUGGUGGGUCUUGAGAAUGUAGACCCCAUGCUAGCAUAAGGAUGGGAGGUUUGGUUGUAAUAUUGGAUGGAAUAAAUAAUUCUCAAGGAUCAUUAAAUCAUGGUGAUAAUAAUUAUAGGUAUAUAGGUAGUGUGAGUAAUAUUUCGCUGAAUUGAGGAUUUGUCUUUAAGCUGAAGAACCAAUAGAUGGCCAGAAGCCAACAAGGGUUGGAAAGACACAUGGUUGUAAUAAUUUAUAGGCCUGUGAUUAGGCGUGACAUGGUAUAAAUGAUGAUUGGAUUAGAUAAUCUGCCAUGAGAAAGGAGAGUGAUGGGCUGUCAACUCUAUCUGAUUAGAAGAAUUUAAUUUGAAAUUGUAGUUCAGAACUGUUAACUCGAAGGCGAUAAAGUUCACCACCAGUUAUCAAACCAGGUAGGAACUGAGUUUCUAUUCUUUUCAAAAUUAGAGGAAAAGUAGAAAACCCAGAAAUACUCUUUUUGAGGGAAUUGAUGAAAAAAUGUAUAAGUCCAUGCAUCCAUAUAAUCCCAGUAAUUAAAGGUCUGGUUACUAAAGCUAUUAGCUUGAGUAAGGGGACCAAUUAGGUCUUUGGUGGUAAGAGGAUCACCCCAUUCCACCUGUUCCAUUAUAUUAUGGAUAAAAGCUCUUCGAUAAGGCAUAGAUGAUUGGUCAUUACCAAUAGUUGGAGAAUUAUCCAAAGAGACAGAAUUGGUCUCAAUUAAAAUAGAUUCGUAGAAAUUUCUACGAUUAUAAAUUUGGGAUGGACUAUUAGUCCCUUGACCGAAUUUCCUUGUACCGAGAUAAAUAGGCAUUUUUACCCAUUUUUCAUCGUCGGUAGUUAAGGCAAAAAGUAAUUCAUUGGAAUCCUUUAGGAAUAAUCGGGUACCAUUAUUCCAUACUGAGGAUUUAUUCAUUUUCCUUUGUCUGUCUUUUAAGACCGGAGAAAAUAUCCCCAAUUUGGGAGAGGGGGAGAAAGUUUUACUUUUUCCCUUAUCAGGGUUCGAAGUAGAACCAGGAUUCUGAUCAGGAGAAGUCAUUCCUAUAAAGACAAUAAUAAUGCCUGAUUGCUUCAAAAAGCAUUGAUAAUGAUAUAAUCAUAAUAAUUGCAUAACUUCAAUUGGAAGUAAUUAAAAUAAUUCCAUAAGAAUUUAUGUCAUUUGUAAUUCUUCGACCACGAUUGUGGCUAGUUUAUAAUAUGACUAUUAGUCAAAAUUCUUGAUAUUAAGAAUUAGACAAAUAUUCCCUCGAUAUCUGAUAAGAUUAUAAAAUCCUUGUCUAUAAGACAUAAAAUUUUCCAUGUCUAUAAGACAUUAUGAGCCAAUCCUUAACAUGACUAUUAGUCAAAAAUUCUUGAUAUUAAGAAUUAGACAAAUAUUCCUUCAAUAUCUGAUAAGAUUUUGAAAUCAUUGUCUAUAAGACAUAAAAAAAUUCAUGUCUAUAAGACAUUAUGAGCCAAUCCUUGUAUUGCAAAUAUUGUCUUAUAAGACAAUAGGAAUAUUGCUAUCUGAUUCAUAGGAUGAAGAAUUAGAUUGUUCUUCAUCAAUUUGAAAAAUCAUUUUCUCUUUUAAUUGCUGUAUAUACUCAUUAUUGGGUUUAAUGGUGAAUUCAAAAAUAAUUUUAUUUCCCAAAAGAGUAGUGUGAAUACUUUCAUCAUCUACUCUUUCAAUAGGCCAAAUAAGGCUUAAGAAAGGUUUUCCUAAGAUUACCAUUUGGGAUAGAGUAUUAGAUAGGACAAAAGGAGUUCUAAUACGAAUAGUAUUAUUACAGACUAGUACAUCUGAUAAUUUAUAAUUUAUCUUCAUAGAAGAACCAUUAGCAGUAUUUAAGGCGUAAUGAAUUUUUUCAAAAUAUUUAGAAGGUACUAAUCCUUCUCUUAUGCAAUUGAGAUCUGACCCACUGUCUAUCAGGGCAAUGGUAUCCAAAAUAAAAUCAUGACUAAUAAUAAGUCUAGUAUUAAUAUACCAUUUCUGAUUAAUACUAUGAUUCAGAGAUAAUAAAUCCCCAAUCUCAUCUUUAGUGAUGGUAGGAGGAGGAAGAGUAUUAUUAGUUUCAAGUUGGGAAAUUCUCCACCUCAGAUUUUCUAUUUCAACUUUUAAAUUAUUCAUUUCUCCUUUGAGAUCAAAAAUAGUAGUUUCUUUAACUAUAGUUCUUGAUUCAAUUCUAUCAAAAACCUCUUGUAAAGAAUAAGGUUUUAAAAUACUGGAAUUUAGAUUGGUAUUAGAAGAAUUUUCUAAAUAUUUCUCAAUAGCCUGUCUUUUUCCAAUAGGAUCAAAUAUUUUAUCAAUAAUGUCAAGAAUUAAAGUCUGAUUUUCAGAAAGGACAUUAAUAUUAAGCCCGUUCAUAUCAAUAAUAGGUUUGUAAUAGUCUUGGGAAGUCUUGCAAUGUGUAGAACAACUUUUUCCUGACUAUUAGUGAGCUCUUCUAUUUCCAUAAUUUGGUCAGAAGAAUCUUCAGAGUAAUAAUUACUAGGAGGUUCAUAGUUAUCAAGAAUUUGAUUGAUUUGUUUCUUAACAUUGUCAUCGAUGCUUAAUUCAUUGAUUUGUUUACGAAUAUCAGUUUUAGAAGUGCAUCGGUUAGCAUAAUGACCUUUAUUGCCACAUUUAUGGCAAGAAAGACCAUGAGGAAUAGCAUUAUCAGAUUCUUUUACUCCUCUAAUCUCAAAAUCAUUUUCUAUCUUAUCAGGAAUAUUAUAAGUGUGACUUGAAGAUUUCCUACGAAAAGUUUUUAAUAGAUUUGAGACGAGAUAUUCUGUUGGAAGAAAACCGGAUUUCAAUAUCUCCUUCAAGAGUUUGGGUGAUUUGAUCCAGGUUCCUAUUAAUUGGUUGGGAACGGAUAAUUCCCUGAUGAUCCCAGUUUUCAGGAUAACUAAUUUGAUCCCAAGGGAUAACCUUAUUACAGGCCAUAUUAGACCUUCCUAAAUUUGUUUCAAUAAUAGUAGUAUUUCUUUUAUUGCUAAUUAAUUUAGCAUUAGGACUCAAAGUGUUCAUUACUUUAAAUUGAAUUCUAUAAGCGACAUUAAGAACCUCUGCGCCAGAAAGAAAUUCAUAUCCUUUAGUGUCAAGGUCCAUCAUUACGCUUUGCAUAAUAUUAUCAUCAGAUAAAGAUAAUUCCGGAUUACGAUAUAUGUUACAGUAAACUGGUCCAUUACUAGUAGUGGACUCCAUAAUACCCAUCAAGGAUUUUUGAUAGUUGGUACACCUAGCAUCCCUAAGGGCUAGAAGAAAACAACAAUUAAUACCUUUCAGGUGUAAAGGUUUUAUUGCAAUUUGGAUUAAUCCUAUAUGGAUGUAAUGGUAAUUUUGUCGAUAUCUGAUAAUAUCUUGUUCGGUUAUUAAAGGAAUACAUCUUUUAUUUCCAUUAAUUGGCGUGGUAUGUUCUACUGUCUUAAUAGACAUAGCUACUUUGUAAUCGAAAGAACCAAUGUUAUAAAUUCUUUUUGGUUCAAUCUUGGGCAUAUCCCAAUUUAAUAAUUCAUUUUCCAUUUUCUCUAUAUUAGAGAUUUCGAUACAUUCUUCAUUUUUCAUAAAUUUCUUUUUAUUUUUAAACAUAUUAAACAUUUUGAAAUAACUUAAUUAUUAAUAUAAAACCGGAUAAAACGUAAGAGAAGAUGUCAAUAAGAUGUUAGGGAUCAUGCAGUUCUUAAACAGAGAUAAUUACUCAGAAAGGAGAAGAAUAGUAAAUAACAGUUCUAUAUCAAUAUUCAUGAUUAAUGCUGACAGUCAACGAUUUACGUCACAGCUAACAACCAUUUCAUAUCUCAAUACAUGAUUAAUUCCAACAGUCAACGAUUUACGUCACAGCCAAUUAACAGUUUCAUAUCAAGAUUUAUGAUGAACUUCAACCAUCACGAAUUACGGACAAAUGUCCCUAAACGCCUAACGACCACCUGCCUGCGGCUAAACGGGUAGUCACCACAUGACUAUGCCUUCAUUCAUCAUAAAUCAGAACACAUAACAAUUAACAGCCGGAGACUACAAGUAGUCCAACGCGACGAAGUCAGGACUAAUCAUGAACCAAAACACAGAACUAUUACUAGCCGGAGACUAAAAAUAGUCCAACGCGACGAAGUCAAAUGAUUAAUCAUAAAAUUCAACAAAGAACUACUACCAUACUAUUGUUCACAUCUUGAACAAUUAUCCUAAUUAAGCAACUAGAUGUUCCCCAACAGUAAUUUACGCUGCCAUGGCUCUGAUACCAAUUUUAAACCAGGAGUAUAUAUGAAAACAGGAAAUAAAGAACAGAACAAAAAAAUUGAAGAAGAACAGGUUCUAUUCACAUAAAUUUAAAACAGAAAAAGUACAGAGUAGAAAUUAAAAUAAAAGAGGCGCAAUACUUACUGAAUUAGGAAGCUUUAUUCACAUAUAAGUUGUACUAAUUGUACAACUAAGUAGUAGAUAUACACCCCCUGAAGAAAGCUUCAGGUAAAAACUAAAGACCGAAAGAUUGAAAAACCAAAAGAUUUACAAGAAGAAAAGAAAAGAUUACAAAAAAAGAGCAAAAGGGAGAAGAAGAGAGAAAGCUAAGCAAGUGUCGAAGCUUGUUCUCUUUCAUUUACAAGGGCCUCUUAUAUAGGCCAAGUGAGAGGUGGGCCCCAUUGAGCAUCUUAUAAGAGGGUGGACCCCAUUAAACACCUUAUGAUGUGUGGGCCCCAUUGAGCAUCUUGUAAGUGGGUGGUCCCCAUUGAGCACCAUGUGAACAGCUGAUUGGACUAGUAUGUGGACCUCAUAUUUUGUAUCGGAGUCUGAUAAAAUAAGCAGACACAUUGUCUUGUGGUCUUCAUAUUAUUACAUCCGGGAUAGGAAAUUUGGUUGUUUUACUAAAUGAAUAAUUAAUGGGUCGAAUAUCACCUCUUGGAUUGAUGGCUUGAAAAGAAAUCAGUAAAUGGUUAAAACCAAAGGAUUUGAAUGACAUGUGGAUCAUGAAAGGGAGAAAACAAAAUUUGGUAUCCUUGUGGUUAGGUUUGACAAAAUUGAGGUAUAAUUGUUGAUUUGAAGAGUGGAAGUAAUUUUCCACUAGAUUUCAAAUUGCAAGUUGGAAGUAACUAAUCCACUUCUAGAUCGACAUCAUCAUCAUCAUCAUCAUCAUCAUCAAGUUGAGAAGAACUCUGUUGAGAGGAGCCCUGUUUAAGGUCCCACCAUGAAACAAUAACAUUGACAGGAGUACUAGUGUCUUUGUUGGUAGUGGGAUUUGUGUCCAUAGGAGAAAUAUCUCCAAAAGAAGCUUGGAUAUGCUCCUGCAUUUCUUUCAUAACUCGAAAUUUGAGUUCUUGGGAUGAGAGACCAGGGUGAGUCUUGGUUAAUUUUUCCCUAAUAAUUGAGACAGGAUUGUCUGGUAAAGUUUCUUUAAGAACUGGUGAUUGUGUAUGUCGAGAGACAUAUAAUUGUUCCAGCUUUUGGAUAUCGGGAGUAAUAGUUAAUAGUUUACUCUCGAUAGGGCAAUUGGCCCACCAUUUAUAAUGGUACUGGCGACAAAGACCAUGAAGGCCUUCACUUGCCUGAUAUUGACAGCUAUAAGUCCAGGCCCAAAUCCAUGGAAUUAGAUAAUCUGCCAGAAAAAAGAGGAAUGAUUUACCUCGAAUAGUAUCUUUCCCUUCAAAUAAAUGAUGGAAUUGAAGAUAAUAUUUAUAAAGAACUGUUAGUUCUGUGUGCAAGUAGUCCAAAUUAGGACCAAAUUUGAAAAACCAGUUAUAAAACCAGUUAGGAAUUUCAUUAUUGUCUUUCUUGAAAUCUUCAUCAAAAUAGAAGAACCAAGAAUGCUUCCUUUGAGGAUUUUGGUAAAAGAACGUAUAAGUCCAAGCAUCCAUAUAAUCCCAAUAAUUAUAGGAUUGAUUAUAGUUGUGGUACGAUCCACGUAAUUCCCGUAAUUUAUUCGGGUCGCCCCAAUCCAAAGAUUUGAGAACCAUAUGAAUCAUUGCUUUGCUAUAAGCAAAGGGAGAAUUAGAAGUAUUACUCCUUCUUUUAUGAUCAAAAGUGAUUGAAUUAGUCUCUUCCAAAAUUGACUCAUAGAAAUAUCUAUGUUUUCCACCUCGGAUAGGACUAUUAUCCUUUUCGUCAAAAUAUUUUUGGCCCAGAAUAAUAGGGUCCAUCAUCCAUUUGUUAUCCUCUGGAUUAAGGAUUACAAGUAGUUCUGUGUAAUUGUUUAAGAACAACUUGGGCUCAUUGUUGCCUAAUAAGGCAUCUUUCAUAGUUUUGUCUAUUGAAACUUUUGAAGAAGAAGCUGAUUCAGGUUUGAUAAAGACAGAUUUGCCUUUUCCACGUCCUCGCCCCAUAUAAGGUGCUGGACUAUGAGAAUUCAUCCCUGCAAAUAUUUGCGGGUAAGAAAAUCAGGAAGAGAAUUAUUAUCCCCUUUUAUGUAUUCUAUUUGAAAUUCAAAUACUGAAAGAAUUGCUUGCCAUCGGGCAAAGAUAUGUUUAGAUGCUAAAUUUUUAACAUUUUUUUCAAUAAUAUCUUUUGCAGAGCUACAAUCAAUUCGUAGCAAAAAUUCUUGAUUUAUUAAAUCAUCUUGGAAUUUAGUAAUACAGUUGACUAUAGCCAACAUUUCUUUUUUAACAGUCGAAUAUUUAACUUGAGCAUUUUUCCAAAUGCCAGAAUGGAAUCUAAUUAGUUCCUCUUUAUUUGUCAGAGAAUUUCUCUGUUUGAGUAUUCCACCAUAACCUCUAUUAGAGGCAUCUGUCUCCACAAUUUUCAAUCCAUUGGGAUUGGCUAGUGAUAAACAAGGCAAUUGUUUAGCUUUAAGCUUUAUUUUCUGAACCGCUUUUGUAUGAUCCGAGGUCCAAGGUUCAGGAUUUUUGCGAAGUCUUUCAUAAAGAAUUUUGGUGUCAAAAGCUAUGUCUUUGUAAUAAUCAAAGAUAUAAUUAAGGCUUCCUAAGAACCUCUGUAAUUGUUUUUUAUCUCUUAUUUCAUCAGGGAAUUUUGAUGCAAAUUCUAUAGACCUAUUAAUGGGGAUAAUUUUUCCCUGACAAAUAUUAUGUCCUAAGAAACGAAUUUCGGUUUUGAAGAUUUUCAUUUUUUGGGCAGAAACAACUAAACUAUUUUUCUUAAUAAGAUGGAAAAAUAUAUUUAGAUGUUUAAAAUGUUGAUCAAUAGAAUUGGAAAAGAUUAAUAUAUCAUCAAUAUAUACAAUACAGAAUUCAGUAUAAGCAUUAAAAAUUCCAUUUAUAAUAUUCAUAAAUUCUGAAGGAGCAUUUUUUAAACCAAAAGUCAUAACAUUCCAUUCAUAAUGUCCAAAAGGAACAGUAAAAGCAGUUUUAUAUUUAUCUUGUUCAAUAAUCUGAACUUGCCAAUAACCUGACUUUAAAUCGAAUUUAGAAAAUAUACGAGCAUCAUUUAAGCGUUUUAAUAAAUCUUUUUUAUUAGGAAUAGGAUAACGAAUCCAUUGAAGAACCUUAUUAAGGGAUUUGUAAUUAAUAACUAAUCUAGGAAUCCCUCUUUCUUGUUCAGCAUUUUUAUUUACAUAAAAGGCUGCACAACUCCAACAAGAAGAGUUUUUCCUAAUAAGCUGUUUAUCUAACAGACAUUGAAUUUCAGUCUUACAUAAUUCCAUAUAAACUUUAUUCAUUUGGAUUGGUCUAGCCUUAGUAGGUAUCAUGUUUUCAUUAAAACCUUCGAUAUAGGGUAAUUGUACUAUGUGUUGCUUCCUAUCCCAAAAGGCAUUAGGAGCAUCGCUACAUAUCUCCUUCUGAAAUUGUUUUUCUAAGGAAAGAAUUUUUUCUUUAGUAACAAAUUGCUCUAAUUGUUUGUCAAUAGAAGCAUAUCCUAUUUCUUGAGACAAAAAAUUGAUUUGUUUUUCUUUUAAAAUCAAAGUUUCUUGUAAUUGAUUGAUGUAAUUUAUCUUAGGUUUAAUGGUAAAUUCAAAGACUGUCUUUUUGCCCUUUAUAGUAGUAUGAAUUCCAUUAUUAUCGAUCCUUUCAAUAGGCCAAAUAAGGCUUAAAAAAGGUCUUCCUAAUAUUACCAUUUGAGAUAAAUUAUCAGAUAAGACAAAAGGUGUAUUAAUACAAAUACCAUCAUUGCAGACAAAAACAUCCGAUAAUUUAUAGUUUAUCCUCAUAAGAGAACCAUUAGCAGUAUUCAAUGCAUACUUAGUUUUCUCAAAAUACUUAGUAGGAACUAAUCCUUCCCUUAUACAAUUAAGAUCAGAACCACUAUCAACCAAAGCAAUAGUUUCUAAAGUAAAAUCUUGAUUAAUAACCAAUUUUACCUUAAUAUGCCACUUUUGAUUGGUAGGUUGAUGUAAGGAUAGUAAAUCCCCAAUAGUCUCUAUUUCUGGUAAAUAAUUAGAAUUUGUUUGAUUCUGGAGUAAGGAAAUUUUUCCAUUUAGGUUUUUAAUAUCUGAUUUAAGAUUAUUAAUUUCGCCUCUAAGGUCAGAAAUGGUAGAUUUAUUAACCAUAGAAUUUGAUUCAAUAUUAUGAAAAACACCAUCUAAGGAAGAAAGGUUUUUAGUAUUAUAAGUAUUUUCUAAAUAGUUUUGAAAAGCUUGUCUUCUCUCAACAGGAUUGGAUAUUUUAUCAAUAACAUCCAAAAUUAAGGUCUGAUCCUUAGUUAAGACAUUUAUAUUAGGUUUAUUUAUUUUAUUAUUAAACAUAUCAUAAUUUAGAGAAGUUGUUUGAUAAAACCAAUUUGCUAAUUUUGAUUUAUUAGUGAUAUCCAUAAUAUCCUGAUUAAAAGGUUUAAUUAAUUUGGUUACAUCAGUUGAAGAGAUAUAUUCUCUUUUUAUCUGAUCAAUAAUAAGUGUGAAAUUAUUCCUUUUAGGAUAUUGAUUAUUAAAAACAAAUUGUUGUUUGAAAAUGACUUGAUUAGAUCUACUAUAGAUAGAUUUUUGACGGAAAGGUUUUUUGGAAUCUUUUCUAUGAGAAAUAAUAUUUUUAAUACUAGGCGUUGAAAUAAGUAUAGUAUUAUCGAAUUGAUUAGGAUAUUGUCUUGUUUCAUAGUUCUCAGUUAAUUUCUGAGUGUGAAGUUGAUUUUGUAAAAGCACUUUAUUACUAAAGAUUAACUUUGUAAUAAUAAUAUCUUUACUAGAAGAGAGGAGGAUAACAUCAUGUUUAUCUUCCAGACUGGCAUUGAUAUUACUAUCUUCAGUAUUCUUAUUAGAUAUAAUAUCAAUAUCCUGUGAUAAUUCAAUAUUAUUAUCAGUUAAAGUCUUGGUUGGUUGAUUUUGGCUUAAAUCAUUGUUUUCUAAGCCAAUUUGUUUUAUAGGAAGAGAAUAAAUUUUUUCCCUGCAGUAUCUUAUACUUAAUUCAGGUUCAUUAACCGUAUUAUUAUUAUUGAUAAGUUGUCUGUCGAUUGGUUGUAAAUCCGAAACACUUCUUGUUAACUUUGUCUCUUCUGAAAAAGGUUGUUUGGGAACAACCGAUUUCUGAAUAAUAGAUUCAUUUAUUAAUUUAAGAGACUGAGUAGGAAGGUGAUCAGAUUUAGACCCAGAAUAAUUUGAAAGAUGAAGUAGAAAAUCUGAGGUGGAGAGUUUCCCAACUUGAAACUAACAAUACUCUUCCUCCUCCUACCAUCAAUAAAGAUGAGAUUGGAGAUUUAUUAUCUCUAAACCAUAAUAGUAAUCAAAAAUGGUAUAUUAAUACUGACUUAUUAUUAGUCAUGACUUUAUUUUGGAUACCAUUGCCUGAUAGACAGUGGGUCAGAUCUUAAUUGCAUAAGAGAAGGAUUAGUACCUUCUAAAUAUUUUGAAAAAAUUCAUUAUGCCUUGAAUACUGCUAAUGGUUCUUUUAUGAAGAUAAAUCAUAAACUAUCAAAUGUUUUAGUAUGUAAUAAUACUAUUCGUAUUAAAACUCAUUUUGUUUUAUUUAAUACUUUAUCCCAAAUGGUAAUUUUAGGAAAACCGUUUUUAAGCCUUAUAUGGCCCAUUGAAAGAAUAGAUGAUGAAGGAAUCCAUACUACCCUUAUAGGGAAAAAGAUUAUUUUUGAAUUUAUCAUCAAACCCGAUAAAGGAUAUAUACAUCAAUUAAAAGAAAAAAUGAUCUUUGAAGAAAUUGAUGAUGGGCAGUCUAAUCCAGAUUGCAAUAUUCCUAUUUGAGCAGGAUUUUCGAUAUUUAUCUGGUCCAGUAAGAAUCAGCUUACUUAAUCCUAAUUAAAGGAUUGGUUUAUGUCUAAUAAGACAACAAAUUAUUUCCAUCCUAAUUGAAGGAUUGGUUUAUGUCUAAUAAAACAACAGAUUAUUUCCAUCCUAAUUGAAGGAUUGGCUUAUGUCUAAUAAGACAACAAAUUAUUUCCAUCCUAAUUAAAGGAUUGAUUUUGACUAGUUCCUAAUUGAAGGACUGGAUUAUCCUAAUUAAAGGAUUGAUUGAUGAUGUAUAAUGAGACAGUAAAUUUCCGUCCAAAUACAUGGACUAAUUGGCAAUGUCUUAUAGACUUUAAUUAUUUUCUUGACAGAAAUGGCUCCUCUUGACCAGAAUUAUGAUCCUAAUUCGGAUCCGAUUAAGGGAAAAGGUAAAAGAUCUUCUCCUUCUCCCGAAUUAGGGGAAUUCUCUCCUCUCUUAAAAGAGAGUAAAAGAAAAACCUCAAUAGGGGAUAAUAAUACCAGAUCAUUUCUGAAGAAUUCCAAUGAAUUAAUUUUUGAAUUAAUUGAUGAUGAUAUGAUGUGGCUAUACACGCCUAUCUAUCGUGGUUCAGGAAAUUUUGACCAAGGGACUAAUAGCCCAUCCCAAAUUCAUAAACGUAGAAAUUUUUACGAAUCUAUUUUAAUUGAGACCAAUUCAGUCUCUUUUACCACGGUUAACAACCGUUUUUCUAAACCUUUUCGAAGAGCUGUUAUCCUUAAAAUAAUGGAACAAUACGAAUGGGGUGAACCUUUUACUACCAAAGACCUAAUUGGUCUCGUUUCCCUUUUUAAUAGCCUCCAGACUUUUAAUUACUGGGGCUAUAUUGAUGCAUGGACUUACACCUUCUUCCAUCAAAUUCCCCAAAAAGAUUAUUUCUGGAUUUUUUCCUUUUCCCCUAAUUUUAUAGAUAGAAUUCCCACCUGGUUCCAUAACUGGUGGUUUAAAUUUGACCCAGCCAUGAACUAUGUUGCCACCGAGUUAACAAUUCUGAAUUACAAUUUUGUAUUAAAAUCCAAUAGUCAGAUAGAAUUGACAACCCCUCAUACUCCUCUUUCGUGGCAAAUUAUGGAGAACGAAUCCAGUUUCGAUCAUCUUUUCCAGAAUUUUGGAAUAUAGCAUUCCAGGACUCUUUUAACAGAUCCCAUAUCAAGGGGACUACAAAACAGACAGAGACAAUGUAUCUACCCAAUAUUCACAGGACAAUGUAUCUGCUCAAUUAUCAGACUCCGAGACAGAAGAUGGAGUCCACAUAACAGGUUAAUCAGCCAACUAUGGGGUCUACAACACCCACGAGACAACAGGUUACUCUACCGACAAUAACGGGCCUACUAUUCACUGGGGUCCACACAUCACAUAAUGCUUACAUGGGGACCACCCACUCACAAGGUGCCUAAUGGGACCCAUCCACUAAGAAGAUGCUCAAUGGGGCCCACACAUCACAAGGUGCCUAAUGGGGCCCACCCACUAGCAAGAUGCCCAAUGGGGCCCACUUCCCACUCUCAACUUGCCUGUAUAAGGAGGCAUUUGUAAUGAAGGAAAACAAGCUUCGAAUGCGCUCAUUGAUCAUCUUUUUCAGAUUUUCUAAACUAUUACCGCCGGAGACUAUAGGUAGUCCAACGCGACGAAGUCAAGACUAAUCAUGAAUCAAAACAUAAAAUAAUUAUUAGUCGGAGACUACAAGUAGUCCAACGCGACGAAGUUAAAUGAUUAAUCAUAAAUCUUAACCAGAGUAUAGAUAAUAUUACUAACAAGUUAUCAAGCAAUAGAGGUCGAUUUACACGUGAGUGCACAGACCCUCAUUACUGCUACUGUCAGAGGCUAUCAAUAAUAGCUUGACAAUUGAUUCCCCAUAUAAAUGGGUUGCAGUACUCCAAAGGAGUUGCUUCAUUGUCGGUCCUUGUUUAGGAAUAUUAUCCAUUUCUCAGUUAGGGGUGUUAUUCGAGCCGAGCGAGCCGAGCUUUGAAUGCUCAUACUCGGCUCGUUUUAAUACGAGCCGAGCCCGAGCCGAGCCCAAUUUCUGAAUCGAGCCUGGUUUUAUGUUCAAGCUCGGCUCGCGAGCAAUUUAUCAAGCUCGAGCUCGAGCUCGUUAGGCUCGUUUAGAGAAUGAUCUUCGAGAUCUUGUUAUACAGAAAAGAAAUUCAUUUAAUCAGAGUCUUAAUAAGUUUAUAGAAGAUGAAGAAGAACAAGAUCUAAAGAAGAAUUUCAAGUUUUUGUCGAUGAAUGGAUUGUUUUCAAGUUCUAGGUUGGAUGAAUUAGUUGAAGAAGAGUAUGUUGGUGGUGGAAUUGGAAGUAAUGGUGGUAAAUGUAAUGGUGGUAGGGGUGAUGGGUUUUCUGAUUUUAACAAUGGGAAUGAUGAGACUGAUGCUUAUUAUCAGAAAAUGAUUGAAUCUAAUCCUGGAAAUGGUCUACUUCCUGGGAAUUAUGCAAAAUUCUUAAAAGAGGUAAAAAUCCCAUGUUUAGAAUCUCAAUUUCAAGAGGAAUUAUUUGGUAAUUUGUAUCUAGAGCAGAGAAAUACUAUGAUCAAGCUGUUCAAGCUGAACCAAAUGAUUGGUAAGAAUUCAUCAAGCUUCUUGUUUUAAUUGCUGAUUUUGGUAACAACCCAAAUAUACUUCCUAAUGAAUAAUGAUGGUUUGUUCAAUUAAUACUUCAAUGCUUGCAGCUAUGUUAUGGCUUCAUAUGCUCGAUUUCUAUGGGAUGCUGAAGAAGAUGAAGAAGAAGAGGCCAAGGAGAGAGAGAAUGAAGAGAAUUGCAAGAAUGUAAGGAGGUC
rnacentral:lncRNA from 1 species